rnacentral:lncRNA from 1 species
UUUUUUUGGGUGAUAUUUAGAUUGUGUAAUUAAUUUUGUUCAUAGAAUUUUAAUGAUUUUUUGUUCAUAGUAUUUAGAAAAAGGAAAAAAAGAAGAAGUAGUUUAUAUAUAGUUGAACUAGCUAGUUGAUUUAAUAAACUAAUUUAUUUUACUAUAUAUAGAAGUAGUUUGUUUUUAGUAAGUACUACUUAUUUAUUUAUAGUAAGUGCUUAGUAGUUGAACUAGAUAGUUGACUAAUAAAACUAAAUUAUGAACGUAGGCCGGAAAUGUCGUACUCAUCGGACGACGAUAACCGCCCGGGGAAGUGCGACUGGUGCCACGACGACCGAGGUAUCUGCGACAGGUUCAUUGAGCUGGACGAAGAUCGGCGCUUCAGCAUUAAGCUCGGGGAGACCUGCGAUGUUCAUACAGUACGCAACGACGACAAUAGUUUUUUUCGUAAUUAAGCACGACUUCAACUAUUUUAACGUGUAUUUUUCAUCUUUCCAAUUUGACUAGCUUAUCCCAUGCUUUGCAAGACGCUAUGUCUUGGAGAGGAUGGGUAUUGAAGACCAUGAAAAUUUUGAAACCAAAAAAAUUAUCCUAAGUACCGAACAUGAUGUGGAUUUUCAAGUAAAGCUGUACAACGCUCAGAGUGUAACCCAUUUUGGUUGCAAAAAUUGGGAUGCAUUUUGCAAGAUGUAUGGUCUUGAUGAGGGUAUGCUUGUCACCAUGGAUCUUGGUGAUCCUACAAUCGAGCAAGAGACACCUACGAUUUGGGUCUUUGUGGAUACACCUCCAGUUCUUCCCUCAUGUGAGCUAAAGAUAGUUAUUAAGUAAUUUAUAUUGUUUAUUUCAAAAUAUAAUGUUGACAACUUAUCUCCAUUGACAGCUUAUUUUCAUGCUUCAAAGAAUGUGCGGAAGAUGAUAGACAGAACGUACUACACCGAAGGCUGCGAAUUAACUUAUCAGGAGAAACGACAUCUGGUCGGAUUUUGUAGAGAUCUUGAGAAUUACAAUAUCUACAAUCAAACUCCUCAACAUUAUGGUCAAUACGUGCCACUAGUGCACGUGUUGAACUACGGUAACUACCAUGAAGAUACCUUGGUAAGAUUAUUUUUUACUAUUACAACAUCCGUGCAUCUUUUUGCACACUUCUAAAACUAGUACAUCAUUGCUAACUACGAAGUUAUUACUAUGUUUUUCAACAGAUAAUCCCGAAUGAUUGUGUGCCUCAUCUGAUGUAUACGCGUGGUAGCCUUCAUGUUUUGAACAUACUACCAGGUCGUCCUACGAAUCUCAACUGUCCAUACCGGGUUUCUAAAAGAAGUGGAGACAUAACAAUCAAAGAAUGGAAAAAAUGUAUGGACAGUCGUAAGGAGCUUCUUGGAAGCAAUAAGCAGCGAAAGGCAAGAAUUGGAGACAGGAUGAUCGCCAUUCUUCAUAACGGAGAGUCAGGGUCUAUAUUGUUUUAUGCUAUUUUACCUUAAGGGUGUUUAGGUCCUACCUGAUACUGAUGAUCAUGUGCUAAGAACAAUUAUGUAGGGUUGGGUUCGAUGACUAUAUAUGAGGAUGAUGAUCGUAUGACUUAUUAUUAAUAACGAGUAGAAGUUGUAUGAUGAUGCAUGAUUAGUAGGACUUGUUAUUAUAUAUAUAUGAUGAUGUAAUGAUGCAAAAGCAUGCAUGAGAUAUGUUAUAUGAACAUAGCAGCAGCGUUGAUAAACAAAGCAUGCAUGAUGUAUAUAUGAUGCAUAACGUGUACAAUGUGUAGUAUCGUAAAAUACCAGCAAACGAAAAAGAAUUAAAAUGGAAACACAAAAUUAAAUGAAAAAGAAAUCAUAAAACUAAAAACCCACCAAACCUUAUAGUACCGGUUGGUGUUACCAACCGGUACUAAAGGGCUCCAGGCCCCCGGAGCUGGCUAGUGCCACGUGGUUGCCCUUUAGCACCGGUUCGUGCUGAACCGGUACUAAAGGGGGGGGGGCCUUUAGUGACCACAAAUUAGUGCCGGUUAUGUAACCGGCACUAUAGGUCCUUACGAACCGGUGCUAAUGCCCGGUUCUGCACUAGUGCAAGAUCAAGAUGGAGAAAAUUCGCUUGAAGAUUAGAAAGAUUAGAAAAUAUGCCAUCGAUAGUGAGGCUUGGUAUCAUUAUGCUGUUGGAUCAAUUGUUACGUUAGUUGCGAUCUUGAUCGCAUUUGUUGUUGCAUUUAAAUGCUUUAGCUAGAGAGUUAUUUGUUUGUUGCAUUUAAGUGUUGUAUGAACUUUAUGUAUGAACUUGUAUUAAUUUGGUCUAUUCGGUGUUGUGUAAUGAAGAUGAGCCGGCAAUGGAUGUACGAUGACCGAUGCUCUCCCCAGUUCUUUGAGGGCGUGCAUACUUUUCUGCUUGCGGCUGAGGCAAACAAGCGGGCGGAUAGUUUUAUGCCUUGUCCAUGUGCUGGCUGUAAGAAUGGUCGCAAUUACUCUACAUCAAGAACCAUUCACGUCCACCUGUUUGAGUCCGGUUUCAUGCCCCACUAUAAUGUUUGGACCAAGCACGGAGAAAGAGGGGUUAUGAUGGAAGACAAUGAAGAAGAAGAGGACGACGACAGCUAUCCUCGCCAUGGGUUCCCUAAAUAUGAUGAUACAACAAUGGGGGAAGAAGCUGAGCCGGUAAUGCGGGAAAAAGCUGAGCCGGCAAUGCGGGAAGAAGCUGAAGAAGAGGCAUCACAUGAGCCCGUUGAUGAUCUAGGUCGGGCCAUUGUUGAUGCAAAGAGAAACUGCGCAAGUGAUUUGGAGAAGAAGAAGUUGCAGCGCAUGUUAGAGGAUCACAAAAAAUUGUUGUACCCGAAUUGCGUAGGUGACAAGAAAAAGCUGGGCACCACACUGGAAUUGCUGCAAUGGAAGGCAGAGAAUGGUGUAUCUGACAAGGGAUUUGGAAAGUUGCUGGUAAUGAGAAAGGAUAUGCUUCCAAAGGACAACGAAUUGCCCGAGAGUACGUACGAAGCAAAGAAGGUUGUCUGCCCUCUAGGGUUAGAGGUGCAGAAGAUACAUGCAUGCCCUAAUGAUUGCAUCCUCUACCGCGGUGAGUACGAGGAUUUGAACGCUUGCCCGGUAUGUGGUGCAUUGCGCUGUAAGAUCAGCCGCGAUGAGCCUGAUGUCAAGGGCGAGCGCCCCAGGAAGAAGAUUCCUGCCAAGAUGAUGUGGUAUUCUCCUAUAAUACCACGGUUGAAACGUUUGUUCCAAAAGAAAGAGCAUGCCAAGGCGAUGCGAUGGCACAGAGAAGACCGUAAGAAAGACGGAAAGUUGAGAGUACCCACUGACGGGUCGCAGUGGAGAAAAAUCAAAAGAAAGUACGAGAAGGAGUUUGCAGAUGACGCAAGGAGCGUAUGGUUUGGUCUAAGCGCAGAUGGCAUUAAUCCUUUUGGGGAGCAGAGCAGCAACCAUAGCACCUGGCCUGUGACUCUAUGUUUGUAUAACCUUCCUCCUUGGUUGUGCAUGAAGCGGAAGUUCAUUAUGAUGCCAGUGCUCAUCCAAGGCCCUAAGCAACCCGGCAACGACAUUGAUGUGUACCUAAGGCCAUUAGUUGAAAAACUCUUACAACUGUAGAAUGGAACAUGUGUACGUGCGUGGGAUGAGCACAUGGGGAAGAAUUUGACCUAAAGGCGUUGCUGUUCGUGACCAUCAAUGAUUGGCCUGCUCUCAGUAACCUUUCAGGACAGACAAACAAGGGAUACCGCGGAUAUACGCACUGUUUGGAUGAUACCGACAGUAUAUAUUUGAAUAGUUGUAAGAAGAAUGUGUACCUAGGACAUCGUCGAUUUCUUCCGAGCAGGCAUCCCGUAAGAAAGAAAGGCAAGCAUUUCAAAAGUGAGGCGGAUCACCAGACGAAGCCUCGCCACCGUACUGGUGCUGAUGUACAUGAUAUGGUCAAGGAUUUGAAGGUGAUAUUUGGAAAGGAUCCUUGUCGGUGUCAAAACCGGCGGAUCUCGGGUAGGGGGUCCCGAAAUGUGCGUCUAGGCGGAUGGUAACAAGAGACGAGGGACACAAUGUUUUUACCCAGGUUCGGGCCCUCUCGAUGGAGGUAAAACCCUACGUCCUGCUUGAUUAAUAUUGAUGAUAUGGCUAGGGUUACACAGAGUCGGUUACAAUGGUAGGAGAUCUACAUAUCCGUAUUGCCAAGCUUGCCUUCCACGCCAAGGAAAGUAACUUCCGGACACGAGCCAGAGUCUUCAAUCUUCUAUCUUCGUAGUCUUGGAGUCCGGCGGAUAUUGAUAGUCCGGCGGUCCGGACACCCCCUAGUCCAGGACUCCCUCAGUAGCCCCUGAACCAGUCUUCAAUGACGAUAAGUCCGGCGUGCAUAAUGUUCGGCAUUGCAAGGCGGGCUCCUCCCUUGAAUAAUUCGGAGAAGAUAAUAAACACCAGGAUAGUGUCCGGCUCUGCAAAAUAAAUUCCACAUUCCACCGUAGAGAGAAUAAAAUAUACACUUAGUUCAAUCUGCUGACGUAUUAUGCGGCGUGACAUCACACCGCAGCCAAGCCCUCGUUUGAAUCGUUUUUCACUAUUCCACCUCAGCACGUUUAGCGAAGCGGUUUCCUUGGCACGUCUUGUCGAAGCAGAGAUCGUGUUCCCCUUAUUCCGGGAUCCUCAUCAAUACGUGCGUGGGUAACCCAACCGUUCCCGUCGCCAUGCCUCCUCUAUCGAAGGGGAAUCUUAAACGGUCACGGAGACGGCCCUUGGUAUUUCUUCCCCUUUAUAAGAGGACCAAGGCCAGCCCUUGUUCUUCAAUCUCGCAUCGAAUCUUUUCCCCGCUCUCCAGUUCCAACACCCAGAGCCUCAGAUUCGAGCGCUUCGGAUCCUCAAUCAUGUCCGGCUCCGACCUCCAGGGCCGGUGGAUGCCCUCCUCCGUCACGGAGGAGGACAUACUGAAGUUGCGUGAGGCCAAGUACCUGGCCUAUGAGGUUUCGCACAGGUUGCCUUCCCAAGGGCAGGCCGUGCCAGCCCCCGAGCCCGGCGAAUACGUCGUUUUCGUAUCCCACCUCCGCCGGGGUUUAGGCUUCCCGACGGAUCCCUUCGUGAGAGGGCUCCUGUUCUACUACGGGCUGGACUUUCACGACUUGGCUCCGGAGUCUAUCCUCCAUAUCUUCGCAUUCAUCAUUGUCUGCGAAGCUUUCCUCCGCGUCAUCCCCCACUUCGGCCUAUGGCUGAAGACCUUCAAGGUGGAACCGAAGAUGAUCGGGGGGCGUCAAGCGGAGUGCGGCGGGGCGACCAUAAGCAAGAAGGUCGAUGCCCCGUGGCUCGAGGGUUCCUUCCAAGAGGAACUUGGAUUGUGGCAGCAGGAGUGGUUCUAUAUCACCGCUCCAAGGGGCAGCAAGCAAAAGCCGCCGCCCUCAUUCCGCCCGGGACCUCCACGCCAACUGAUGUCGUGGGUCAACCAAGGGCUCAAUUGGGUGCCGUCCAAAGACGUGCCCUCACUGCAGGGCCGGAUUUGAGACCUCCAAGCAAGGGAGAUCGACCCGGUCAAGGUGAUGCAGGUCAUGCUAAUCAGGCACCUCCUGACCUGCAAACGUCGUCCUCUCCGUUUAUGGGAGUUCAACCCGGAGGGACCUCGAAUUCUCCAACACUUCAUGGGUGCGACACCCGUGGAGAUGUACAAGUUGUUCUUCGGACCGCAGGUGGCGUGUCCGGAUUUAGCCGAGGAUGCAGGUCUAAGCCGCGAUCACCUGGAUACUCAGGUAAGUAGCUCAGAGUCCGGACAUUCUGUGUGCGUGCCUUUCUAGAGUUUGCCUCCUGGCCCUUUGUUCUUUACAGGAAUGGGUGGCGCGAUCAAGGCUGAUAAGGUGUCCGGCCCCCCUCCCAGAGACCGCACUGGAGCCCGUGCUAGUCAGAAUGUUGGAGGUUGCUCCCGCAGAAGGGGGCAAUGGGGAAAAUAGAGGAGCUAAUAUUUCGCCCAAAGGGGCGACAGAGGAGGAGGGAACCAAGAAUCCCUCCCCUCAGGGGGAGAAGAGGACCGCCUCCAAAGAUCCGGAGGCCAAAGCCCCUAAGCGUGGGAAGAGAUCUUCCCCGGGGGGUCCGGCGCCCGGAGAGAAUCCGGACGCGUGAUCAUCACCAAAGGAUCAGCCCUCCAGCGAGCCGUGAGUGUAAAAGAGGGAGUUAAUUAGUGGGGAAAUACCUUCAUUUGUGCUUCUGUAGGUAACCAAAAUAUAUACAUUGCAGUUCGGAUCUGCAGCCUUCUCAGAUGAGUUCGUCUUCGGGGGACCUUCUUCCGGAGAUGAUGGAGAGCGAUACGCCUCCAUCCGCAGUGCCGCCAAACGAGGCAGGCGAACCCGAAGUGUCAUCACGGAGGGUAUCCCCGAGUCCGGAGGGGCCAGAGAGUUCGGCGCCUACUAGUAUCCGACCGGGAGAACUGAAGAAUCUGCUUGAGAGGGCGUCCAUUUCAGAAGAUCAGCGUGCAUUAAUGCGUAUGGUGAUAGGAAGGAUUUCGUUCGCCGAGAGCAGAUUGCGUAAUGCCGCCAUGAGUUUGCUGGCAGGUUUUGAGGUAUGCAGAAAUGACGCAUCCCUUUUUAUUUUAACAGUAUUGCACAUAAAAAUGCGCACUGUAUAGAUAGUAGCCCCUGAGACUCGGUAGGUUGUCGGAAACGACAGCGUGCCGAGGAUCAAAAUCUCAAAAUCUCAAGUAAUGAAUACCUCCGUCCUGAUACAGGUGGCGGAUAGUCCGGGGGCCAGCCGGACUAAUGAGUUUGCCGAAUUAAGUCGGCAACUUGACGUGGAAGAUGCUGACAUCGCACUUGUCAACCGGCGACUUGACGAGUCGCAAGGUAAAUAAAUUCUACGCAGUUGCUUUAUUUUAAGGGGGUCGAAGCCCUCCUCUGAUAAAUUGUAUGCUGUUGUGCAGACGGUGCUGCUGCUGUGGAGAGCCUUCGGGCCGAACUUGCUCAAGCUAAGGAGCAAGCCCGAAGGAGUGAUGCGGCUGCCUCGAAGGCGGCCGAAGAGUUGAAAGCCGAAAAGGCUGCGCACUGCCUAAGCAGGGCGGAGGUGGCCGAAUUGGCCAUGAGGGUAAAGGAUGCUGCCGACCGCUAUGCGGCUCUUGAAAAGGAGCGUCUAUCGGAGCGGGAAGACCUGAAGAAGGCCACCACCGAAACCAAGGAUGCCCGCUCUGCAAUGCGGGCUAUGAAGGAGGAACUGCGCCAGGCCAGAGAGAUCAUGGCUGGCAAGCCUAUUCUGCUGCGCCGCCGGUUUAUGGAUGCCAAGUAUGCUCGAUUUGAGCGGCUGUGGAGUCUGGAAGAUCCGUAUAUGGAUUUGGCUGCGAGUGCAGCUGAUGCCGUUGAGCACUUCCGGAGCCAGGAGGAUCACGUGACGGAAGAGUUAUAUUGGUCUCAAUUCCACAGUCCGGAUCACUCACUUCCGUUGACGGACCGGCUGGCCGAAUGGGCCGAGCUAAAUAGAUUGUCCGGACUUGCCAUGACUGACAUCGUGGCACAUGUCUGUCCAGAGAGGCCCAAGGCGACGAGCUACUUCGGCUUACUGCAGCAAUUCCUUGGAGCGGUGCCACAUAUAAAAGAUAUGAAGCGGUCAGCCUGCAUCAAGGACGCGCGGAUGGCUCUUGCCCGUGUGAAGGUGCAUUAUCCGGAGAUGGAUGCCACCGCCAUUGCCACUCACGGUCCGGAUGAAAGCCGGCUCCCUGCCGAGCACUACUUCGGAGAAGUCAUGCGCGGUGCUCGUAAAAUAGAGGCGCAGUGCUCGAAGAAUGUAACGUUCAAGUGAACGCAUUAGCUUGUAAAUCGAUGAUUAUGUUAUAACUGCUUUUUAUACUUGUGCGUCCCAAGUAGUAAAACUUCUCCUGUGCGGCCGUUUACGUAUACUUGUGUAUAACCUGAAAGAUGCAGUCUUCGGCUUCAGCCCCCUCGCACAAGGUGCUGGGGUGUUCGCAAAAUAUCGCGUUUUCACACAUAAUCCGACGUCUCGGUCCUGUUAUAAGGAGGUGGUAGCGUAGCGAACGAGGCAAUCCGGACUAUAAUGCUUUAUCUCUUUCACUUAGCCAAUGGAGCUCGAGGAUGGGGCUACGAUAUAGCCCCUGAUGGCACCGCACAUCUCCGGAUUCGGGGUGCGUAUGUGCCUGACCGGGAAACGGUCCUUCGUCAAAGUGGGGAAUUCUAAACAUUCCGAUAGUCGAUCGAGUGGCUGACCAGACUCUCGCUGUAUCAUGAUAGUCAGUUUUCGGCUUUCUCUACUGAGGUGCUCGCCCAGCCGAACUGGGGCACAAUCGCAGUAGUUCUCCUGGUGCCGCGUUAGCCGGGUGAUACGGAACGUAAGGCAGCAAAACACAGGAGACGGGCAAACCCAACAUUUGACCAAAGACAUGAUUCGGAGCUGAUGCAUAUAAUGCCUAACUCGAGACGCCGAACACUCCUGAAGGUGUUCGGACUUUAUAAUAAUGGGCAGGACUAUGCCCUAAGCCCCUAGUGUCCAGGUACGGGCAUGGUCUUUGGACGCGGCCGAUGCCAAAGCGUCCGGCUCCGCUUUGGCUAUAGGAAUAAGCCAAGGGAGAGUAACAACAAGAGACAGUAAUAAAAAGGUCUACGCAGGGUCUUAAUCUGAAAAGAAUCCUUGCAACGGGUCCCUGCUGCACCUCUGCGCAUGUGUCUCCGUUGCGCCGUUAUCCUGGACGGGUACGCACGUUGUUCAUCUGUAGGAAGAGAGGAACGUUUAGUUUUAGAAGCAGUUCAUGCGAAAAAUAUGUAAAAGAAUAAAUAUAAAUAAUUAAAGCAAGGGGUAUGCGGCUAGGGAGCCCCUAGCCUGCUGAGUCCGGAUUCGUCUAUCCGAGUCCGGGGUCCUUAAGUGACCCUCGCACUGAAAUGGCGCCAUGUGGACCGGGCAUCUUGAGUGUAAGAGACGCGUAAUGCGGUAUGGCGUUGAAGCGGACAAAAGCCUUUUGUCCCAAGAGUGCUUGAUAUUCACUUUCAAAUGGGACGAUAUGAAAAAUUAAUUUUUCGCAUCGAAAAUUGUUCGGCGAUCCGAACACGACUUCCAGUAGUAUCGAGCCUGUGCACUUGGCGUAAGGGCCUGGCGUCACUCCUUUGAAGGAAGUGCGGCUGUGUCGAAUUUUGGUAGGGUCUAUCCCCAUCCUACGGAUUGUGUUUGAAUAUAGCAGGUUUAAGUCACUGCCUCCGUCCAUGAGGACGUUAGUGAAUUGUAAUCCGUCUAUUAUGGGAUUCAAUAUCAGGGGAGUCCGUCCCGCAUUUCGAACGCUUCUGGGAUAGUCUAGGUGGUCGAAAGUGAUUGGUUUUGAUAUCCAAUCUCUACGGUCUGCUGGGUUGGACCGUGCGAAGCUUUUUUUAGAAAGUGUCGCACUAUUUUUCCGUGUUAUCACAUGAAGUGAGUUUACUGCUUUGACCCCUUGUGGGAAAGUCUUUUGUUUUCCGGUGCCCUACUGGCGGGGUUUAUAUUCUUCGCUUGACGCGUCGAGCCCCUUGUGUUCGGCAUUUAAUCGGCCGGACUGUUUGAAAACCCAACAAUCCCUAUGGGUGUGAUUUGCAGGCCUUCCGGGGGUACUGUGGAUUUGACAUAUCCGACCCAGAAUUUUGUGUAGGUUGGACAGUUCGUCACUGUCAUCCUUGAGGGGCUGAGUUUUGUUAUUGGACCGCGAGCUUUUGAAUCCGGCGUUGACUGCCGUGCUCUUUGGGCUUUUCUCUUUAUUCCGGCGCUGCUCUUUUCCGCGUCGUGAUUUUCCGUUUCCAUCUCUUAUCUCGGAUGUACUUGGGUCGCUGGUGCUGCUUCUUGCUAGCUAGCUAUCCUCUCCCGCACAGAAGCGGGUCAUGAGGCUUGUUAAUGCGGUCAUUGUCCUCAGUUUCUCUUGACCGAGGUGCCUGGCAAGCCAUUCGUCUCCGACAUUGUGCUUGAAAGCUGCUAAGGCUUCGGCGUCCGGACAGUCGACUAUUUAAUUCUUUUUGGUAAGAAACCUGUUCAGAAUUUCCGUGCUGACUCUCCGGGCUGUUGAGUUAUAUGACUUAAAUCAUCUACAUCCGGAGGACGGACAUAAGUCCCUUGAAAAUUUGCUCUAAACGCUUCCUCGAGCUCUUCCCAACUUCCAACAGUGUUUUCUGGGAGGCUUUUGAGCCAAUGACGGGCUGGCCCUUUGAGCUUGAGGGGUAGAUAUUUUAUGGCGUGGAGAUCGUCUCCUCUGGCCAUAUGUAUAUGCGGUAUAUAAUCUUCUAUCCAGACUCCAGGGUCUGUAGUUCCAUCGUAGACCUCUAUGUUUAUGGGUUUGAACCCUGCUGGGAAUUCAUGAUCCAGCACCUCAUCGGUGAAACGUAGUGGGUGUGCGGCGCCCCUGUACUUGUAUGUGCCGCUAUGGUCAGACACUUGACAUGUUGCUUUGCUUCCUGGGGCUUUCUUUUUGGGUCCGUAGAUGGACCUGGCUGGGCCAUUGGACGGUGGAGGCUCUAUGGCCUCCUCGAAUUCUGGUAGCAGCUUACGCUUCGGGUAGCUCUUCGAUUGGUGGCCAUUGCCAUAUUUAUCUGCGGUUUUGAGUACUUUGCUCCAUCUUAUUCUGAGCGUGUCUUCCGCUGUUUUGAGCUUCCGCUUUUCCUUCUUCAGGCUUCUUGCUGUAGCGAUGAUCCUGCGCUUAAAAAGCUCUUGUUCGACGGGGUCCUCGGGCGUGACGAGUUUGUCGUCAUUGAGGCUUGCUUCGUCUUCGGAGGGAGGCAUAUAGUUAUGACCCACGACCUCUUCGUCUGCCGCCCUCUCGUGGGGGCUUGUUUCUGCAUCCUCCUGCGCUGAGUUUUGCUGGAGGGGAUUGUCUUCGGCACUCUCUGGGGUAUUGUUAUUUCCUGUGCUGGAAUCUAUAUUCUUGCUGUGGCGGGAUUUAGAGCGGCGCCGCUGACACCGGCAUUUGGGCUGCUUCUUUAAAGAGUCUGCCUCCGCUGCUUCUUUGCCAUCCCCUUCUUUUGGGGUAUCCACCAUGUAUACGUCAUAUGACGAGGUGGCCUUCCAGUGCCCUAUAGGCGCUGGUUCCUGUUCGUCUCCAGCAUCGUCGUCCAUAGCGUCGAUGUCUUCGGAGCCGUAGUCUAGCAUGUCAGUUAAAUCCUCGACAGUGGCUACAAAGUGGGUGGUGGGUGGGCUCUGAAUUUCUUCGUCGUCCGUACUCCAACCGUCCUGGCCAUAGUCCGGCCAGGACUCUCUCGAUAGCGAGAGACGCUUUAGUGAAUUUAGGAUAUCGCCGAAAGGCGAGUGUUGGAAUAUAUCCGCGGCGGUGAAUUCCAUAAUCGGCGCCCAAUCCGGAUUAAUUGAUAGGGGCGCGGGAGGUUCGGAGUCCGGCAAGGAGUCCGGCGCCUCGGAAUCACGAGUCUCGCAGGGGACAAUGUCAGUGUUCGGCUCCAUCGCCGUGGAUGUUGAAGCCCCCGGGGCGGCGUCUAUCCACCGACCCUCGAUUUGGGCGGUCGGCUCCGGACUAAUGGCUGAAGCGGAUCCGAAUGCGGCCACCAAGGCACUGUCCGGCGGCAGAGCUAGAUCGUGCCAUCGUCACAGUGCGGCGCGCUUGGCUGUGGCUCGAGUUCGUCGAAGAUCAAGUCUCCGCGGUCAUCGGCCGUGAAGUUUAAGCUUCCAAAUCUGACCUGAUGGCCAGGGGUGUAGCUUUCGAUCUGCUCCAGAUGGCCAAGAGAAUUGGCCCACAGUGCAAAGCCGCCGAAUACGAAGAUCUGUCCGGGGAGAAAAGUCUCACCCUGGACAACGUUGCUGGUUGAAGAUGCCAUCAGGCCUAUCAGCGACGACACAUAGGAACUCUCAAUGAAAUCACUAUUGUCGGUGUCAAAACCGGCGGAUCUCGGGUAGGUGGUCCCGAACUGUGCGUCUAGGCGGAUGGUAACAAGAGACGAGGGACACAAUGUUUUUACCCAGGUUCGUGCCCUCUCAAUGGAGGUAAAACCCUACGUCCUGCUUGAUUAAUAUUGAUGAUAUGGGUAUUACAAGAGUAGAUCUACCACGAGAUCAAGGAGGCUAAACCCUAGAAGCUAGCCUAUGGUAUGAUUGUUGAGAUGUAUGUUCGUCCUACGGACUAAGGCCCUCCGGUUUAUAUGGACACCGGAGAGGGCUAGGGUUACACAGAGUCGGUUACAAUGGUAGGAGAUCUACAUAUCCGUAUUGCCAAGCUUGCCUUCCACGCCAAGGAAAGUACCUUCCGGACACGAGCCGGAGUCUUCAAUCUUCUAUCUUCGUAGUCUUGGAGUCCGGCGGAUAUUGAUAGUCCGGCGGUCGGGGGACCCCCUAGUCCAGGACUCCCUCAAUCCUGGCGGACAACCUGUUCCAAAGGAUGCUGACGGACGCGCACCCAUGUGGAAGAAGAAAUCUAUAUUUUGGGACCUGCCAUAUUGGAAAGACCUAGAGGUCCGCUCCGCAAUCGACGUGAUGCACGUGACGAAGAAUCUUUGCGUGACCCUGCUUGGCUUCUUGGGCGUGUAUGGGAAGACAAAAAAUACACCUGAGGCACGGGAGGACCAGCAACGUAUGCACGGAGAAGACGGCAUACAUCAGGGUCAUGCAAGCUACGCUCUUACCAAAGAAGAGAAGGAAAUCUUCUUUGAAUGCCUGCUCAGUAUUAAGGUACCGUCUGGCUUCUCGUCGAAUAUAAAGGGAAUAAUAGACAUGGCAGAGAAAAAGUUCCAGAACCUAAAGUCUCAUGACUGCCACGUGAUUAUGACGCAACUGCUUCUGGUUGCAUUGAGGGGGCUUCUACCGGAAAACGUUCGAUUAGCCAUUGUGAAGCUAUGUGCAUUUCUCAAUGCAAUCUCUUAGAAGGUAAUUGAGGGAGUCCUGGACUAGGGGGUGUCCGGACAGCCGGACUAUCAAUAUCCGUCGGACUCCAAGACUACGAAGAUAGAAGAUUGAAGACUCCGGCUCGUGUCCGGAAGGUACUUCCCUUGGCGUGGAAGGCAAGCUUGGCGAUACGGAUACGUAGAUCUCCUACCGUUGUAACCGACUCUGUGUAACCCUAGCCUCUUCGGUGUCUAUAUAAACCGGAGGGCCUUAGUCCGUAGGACGAACAUACAUCUCAACAAUCAUACCAUAGGCUAGCUUCUAGGGUUUAGCCUCCUUGAUCUCGUGGUAGAUCUACUCUUGUACUACCCAUAUCAUCAAUAUUAAUCAAGCAGGACGUAGGGUUUUACCUCCAUCGAGAGGACCCGAACCUGGGUAAAAACAUCGUGUCCCUCGUCUCUUGUUACCAUCCGCCUAGACGCACAGUUCGGGACCCCCUACCCGAGAUCCGCCAGUUUUGACACCGACAUUGGUGCUUUCAUUGAGAGUUCCUCUGUGUCGUUGCUGAUAGGCCUGAUGGCAUCUUCAACCAGCAACGCUGUCCAGGGUGAGACUUUUUUCCCCGGACAGAUCUUCGUAUUCGGCGGCUUUGCACUGCGGGCCAAUUCUCUUGGCCAUCUGGAGCAGAUCGAAAGCUACGCCCCUGGCCGUCAGGUCAGAUUCGGAAGCUUAAACUUCACGGCCGAUGACCGCGGAGACUUGAUCUUCGACGGACUCGAGCCACAGCCAAGCGCGCCGCACUGUGACGAUGGGCACGAUCUAGCUCUGCCGCCGGACAGUACCUUGGUGGCCGCACUCGGAUCCGCUUCGGCCGUCAUCCCGGAGCCGAUCGCCCAGAUCGAGGGUCGGCGGAUAGACGCCGCCCCGGGGGCUUCAACAUCCACGGCGAUGGAGCCGAAUACCAAUCUUGUACCCUGCGAAACUCGUGAUCCUAAGGCGCCGGACUCCGAGCCUCCCGCGCCCCAACCAACUAAUUUGGAUUGGGCGCCGGUUAUGGAAUUCACCAACACGGACAUCUUUCAGCACUCGCCUUUCGGCGAUAUCCUGAAUUCACUGAAGCAUCUCUCGCUAUCAGAAGUGUCCUGGCUGGACUAUGGCCAGGAUGGUUGGAGUUCGGACGACGAAGAAAUUCAGAGCCCAGCCACCACCCACUUUGUAGCCACCGUCGAGGAUUUAACCGACAUGCUAGACUACGACUCCGAAGACAUCGACGCUAUGGACGACGAUGCUGGAGACGAAUAGGAACCAGCGCCUACAGGGCACUGGAAGGCCACCUCGUCAUAUGACGUAUACAUGGUGGAUACCCCAAAAUAAGGGGAUGGCGAAGAAGCAGCGGAGGCAGACUCUUUAAAGAAGCAGCCCAAAUGCCAGCGUCAGCGGCGCCGCUCUAAAUCCCGCCACAGCAAGAAUGGAGAUUCCGGCACAGGAGACAAUAACACUCCAGAGAGCGCCGAAGACAAUCCCCUCCAGCAAGACUCAGCGUAGAAGGAUGCAGAAGCAAGCCCCCACGAGAGGGCGGCAGACGAAGGUGUUGAGGAUGAUAACUAUAUGCCUCCCUCCAAAGACGAAGCAAGCCUCAACGAUGACGAAUUCGUCGUACCUGAGGAUCCCGUCGAACAAGAGCGCUUCAAGCGCAGGCUCAUCACCAUGGCAAACAGCCUAAAGAAAAAGCAGCAGCAGCUUCAAGCUGAUUAGGACCUGCUGGCCGAUCGAUGGACCGAAGUCCUCGCGGCCGAAGAGUAUAAACUCGAACGUCCCUCCAAAAGUUACCCAAGACGCAAGCUGCUCCCCCGAUUAGAGGAGGAAGCAUACAUACCUUCUUCACCAGCGCACGAUAUGGCUGACCGACCACCCCGUGGUCGUGACGGAGAGGCAUCCAGGCCCCCAGCCAAAAACAUACCCUGGCAUCGCUCCAAAAGUACGAAGCCAAAAGGGAAUGCGCCGGACUUGCGAGACAUAUUGGAGGACAAAGCAAGGCAAUCCAGAUCCAUCUACGGAUCACGUGGGCGCCCUACGACCCACGACGAAUACCGUCGCGCCGGACAUAACACCGGCCGGGCCGAACAUAGCAGACAGCGCUCCCUCGAGCUGCGUCGCGAUAUUGCUCAAUACAGGGGCGCCGCACACCCGUUAUGCUUCACUGAUGAAGUAAUGGAUCAUCAGAUCCCCGAAGGGUUUAAACCCGUAAACAUCGAAUCUUACGAUGGCACAACAGACCCCGCGGUGUGGAUCGAAGAUUACCUUCUCCACAUCCAUAUGGCCCGCGGCGACGAUCUCCACGCCAUCAAAUAUCUCCCACUCAAGCUUAAAGGACCAGCUCGGCAUUGGCUUAACAGCUUGCCCGCAGAGUCAAUUGGGUGUUGGGAAGACCUGGAGGCCGCGUUCCUUGAUGACUUCCAAGGCACGUAUGUGCGACCACCAGACGCCGAUGACCUAAGCCACAUUAUUCAGUAGCCAGACGAAUAGGCCAGGCAAUUCUGGACACGGUUCUUGACGAAGAAAAAUCAAAUCAUCGACUGUCCGGAUGCGGAGGCCCUUGCAGCCUUCAAACAUAACAUCCGGGACGAAUGGCUAGCCCGGCACCUGGGGCAGGAAAAGCCGAAAUCCAUGGCAGCCCUCACAUCGUUAAUGACCCGCUUUUGUGUGGGAGAGGACAGCUGGCUAGCCCGCAGCAACAAUCUCCGCAAAAAUUCUGGCAGUCCGGACACUAAGGACAACAACGGCAGGUCACGUCGAAUCAAAAACAAGCGCCACAUUAACGGCGACGAUAAGGAGGAUACGGCAGUCAAUGCCGGAUUCCGAGGCUCCAAACCCGGUCAACGGAAGAAGCCAUUUAAAAGAACCACUCCGGGUCCGUCCAAUUUGGACCGAAUACUCGACCGCUCAUGCUAGAUACAUGGCACCUCCAAAAAACCAGCUAAUCACACCAAUAGAGAUUGUUGGGUGUUCAAGCAGGCUGGCAAGUUAAUUGCCGAAAACAAUGACAAGGGGCUAAAUAGCGAUGACGAGGAAGAGACCCGGCCGCCGAACAAUAGAGGACAGAAGGGUUUCCCCCCACAAGUGCGGACGGUGAAUAUGAUAUACGCGACCCAUAUACCCAAGAGGGAGAGGAAGCGUGCACUACGGGACAUCUAUGCGAUGGAGCCAGUCGCCCCAAAGUUCAAUCCAUGGUCCUCCUGUCCGAUCACUUUCGAUCGAAGAGACCAUCCGACCAGCAUACGCCACGGCGGAUUCGCCGCAUUGGUCUUAGACCCAAUCGUCGAUGGAUUUCACCUCACAAGAGUCCUGAUGGACGGCGGCAGCAGCCUGAACCUGCUUUAUCAGGAUACAGUGCGCAAAAUGGGCAUAGAUCCAUCCAGGAUUAAACCUACAAAGACAACCUUUAAAGGUGUCAUCCCAGGAGUGGAAGCCAACUGUACAGGCUCAGUCACACUGGAAGUGGUCUUCGGAUCCCCGGAUAAUUUCCGAAGCGAAGAGUUAAUCUUCGAUAUAGUCCCGUUCCGUAGCGGCUAUCAUGCCCUGCUCGGACGAACCGCGUUUGCAAAAUUCAAUGCGGUGCCGCAUUACGCAUACCUAAAGCUCAAGAUGCCAGGCCCUCGUGGAGUCAUUACGGUCAAUGGGAAUACGGAACGCUCCCUCCGAACGGAGGAACAUACAGCGGCUCUCGCGGCAGAAGUACAGAGUAGCCUUUUACGGCAAUUCUCAAGUCCGGCAGCUAAAAAGCCGGAUACAUCAAAGCGCGCCCGGAGCAAUACUAACCAAGACCACCUGGCACGAUCAGAGCACGCGUAGCAAUGCGGCCCCAACCCUCGCCCGCGCAUGAUCACAAGAUUAACACUCCGCGUACAUCAUUACGCUUUGGAGAUACCAUGGGCGCAGGGGAAGGGGCUCGGUCACAAGGGACCAAGAGUGCGGCUCAACCACACCAGGGGCUCACGCGAGCGCCCCCCUUGGUUUUAUUUUUAUCUUUUCUUCUUUUUAUGUAUACAGGACUCUGUUAGUCAGAAGCCCUGUUCAACGGCGAACUUGCCGAACUCGUGAUGCAAACAGUCAGGGACUAAAGGAGGCCGCGACGAAUAUUCAGGUGGUCUCAAUUACGAGCAUUAAAUUCAAUUACAUACACCAAGUCUGCAGCUCUUCCCUGGAGGGGGACAUGUUUAUUUAGUCCAAAUCCCUUGCUUACCGCACUACUUGUAUCGGUCCGCUUUAUUAGCAGACCUUCUUUUAUAAAUAAUGCAGCACCUUUUCAUUGCAAUUGCGUUAUCUUUUAUAUUUAUGUUCAUUAUAUGACAUCUUGCACCCGUAUAUUUUGGUACGGCCAAAUAUGCCAGGGGCUUCUGUUCCCCACAUUAUGGUAUGAUUAAGUCCGAACACUUUCACAAGUGCGGCACCCCGAACUUAUAGCAUUAUAUGAAUCAGCUCCGAAUCAUGUCUCGGGUCAAUAGUUGGGUUUGCCCGGCUCCCAUGUUUUGGUGCCUUACGUUCCAUUCCGUCGGCUAAGGUAGCACUGGGAGAACCACUGCGAUUGCGCCCCGGUUGAGCCGGGUUAACGCCUCAGUGGAGAAAGCUAAAACUGACUGGCAUGAUAAGGCGAGAGACUGGUCGCUGUUCGAGAGGUUCUUUCGGGUCCUUAAAGACUCAUGCCGCUUCGAGCGAAGUUCCGGAUGAUGUCCGACGAAGGCGUGGAUAGCGCCCCGGAUUCGGUCUUCCGAAUACCAGGGGCUUCGCCGAAAUUUAAAAUUAUAGAAUUCUAUGGCUAAGUGAGAGUGUUCAAGCAUUAUAAGUCCGGUUGCCUUGUUCGUCGUGUUGAGCGCCUCCCUAGAUGGACCCAAUAAUGGGAACAAGAGUGCUCAAGUUUAUCACCGAACACCCCAGCACUCGUGGCUUGGGGGCUGAAGCCAACGACUUGCCAUCUCUCAGAUUUUACAAACGGCCGCACAGAAGGUAAUAUUUUAAAUUAAACAAGCGUUGCUCAUGGCACAUACGAAUGAAGUUUUCAGCGCACAGGAUAAAUACACAGCGAGUUCACUCAAAGAUUACAUCUCGGGAGCACUCAUCUGCAAUAUCGCAGGCUCCCUUCAGGACAACUUUAUAAUAAUGCUCCGGCAUGCGAUGCUCCUUGCCCGGCGGCGGCGGAUCCGUGAGAAGCCUCUCCGCAUCCAGUUUGCCCCAUUGCACCUUUAUGCUGGCAAGGGUCCGACGAGCGCCUUCAAUACAGGCGGAGCGCUUGACUACAUCCAGCCUUGGGCAUGCAUCCACCAGCCGCCGCACGAGGCCAAAGUAGCUUACAGGCAUGGCCUGUCCAGGCGAUAGCCGGACUAUGAGGCCCUUCAUGGCCUCCUCAGCUACCUUGUGGAGUUCGACCAGCUGCUUCAGCUGGUCGCUUGGGGGCACCGGAUGGCCGGCCUCAGCAUACUGAGACCAGAAGACCUUCUCCGUCGAGCUCCCCUCCUCGCCAUGAUAGAAUGCGGCGGCAUCAGACGCACUACGCGGCAGAUCUGCAAACGCCCCUGGAAGGCUCCGAAUUCGGGUAAGUAUCCGGUAAUCCACAUUAACAUGCCUGCUUUGCAUGAAAAAUGCCUUACCCGCAGCUAUCUUCUUCAUGUCCUCGACCUCCUGAAGGGCCUUCUGGGCCUCGGCCUUGGCGGAUUUGGCACUUUCGAGAGCCGAGGCAAGCUCGGACUCUCGAGUCUUGGAGUCACGCUCCAAACUCUCAUGCUUUUCCAUGAGAGCCUGGAGCUCUUGCCGAACUUCCGCCACCAGUGCCGCUUGCUUUUCUCGCUCAGCCCGUUCCGUGGCCGCAUUGCGUUCGGCCACGGACACGGCAUCCUUCAGGGCUGCCACCUCGUUAGUGGCCCCUGCAAUACACACAUUAUCCUUGUUAAUCUUAUUUGCAACCAAAACCCUUUUCUGUAAGGUACUUAUUUAAAGUGGUGUUACUCACCUUCUUUUUCCUCGAGCUGCCUCUUGGCAUGGCCGAGCUCUUGCUCCGACCGCUCAAGGUCCUUCUUCAGCACCUCGACCUCCGCCGUUAAUGCGGCAGAGGUCAGCAGCGCAGCCUGCAAACCCAUAUUGACAUAUUUUUAGCAACCCUGCGUAUAUCUUGUUAGAUCCUUAGUCCGGCUUUUCUUUCCGAACACCGAACUAAGCAUCAAGGGCUACUAUCUAUGCGGUAUUACAUUACAUAAUUUUAAUUUCUUACCUCAAAGCCUGUUAGAAGGCUGCUGCAGGCUUCGGUCAGCCCGCUUUUGGCGAACUGGACCUUCUUAAUCACCGCACUCAUGAGAGUGCGGUGUUCUUCCUCGAUGGAAGCGCCUUCAAGCGCCUCCAACAGGUUAUCCGGCGCCUCUGGUUGGACAGAGGCCGCCGGCGUCUCGGUCCUGCCCUUCUUUCGAAGGGGCCGCUUGCCGGACUAUGGAACCACUACGGGUUCCGAUGUAGAGUCCGGCACAAAGUCCGGGAGGUCGCCUGACGGCGCCUCUGGAGCCUCCUCCUGAUGGGUCCCCUCUUGGGAUCCCACCUCGGCGUCCUCGUCGGCGCGUGGGGUAGAGGCGGUCGGAACGGAAUUUACUGCCGAAGAGGCCAGCGACCCGCUCAUCGACUCGGGAAGAUCAUCCCUGGCCGGACUACGGACAGAAUGCAGCGUAUAAAUGAUCUGAAUACUUACGAUCCGGCCGGACGCCUGGCCCUUGGAGGCCAGUCAUCCUCGCCAACGCUGAUGUUGGCGAAACUGUCGGGAGGGAUAGUUCUCCCCCUCUUGGACCCUUUGGCCGCCCCGAUUGGGGAAGCCUUCCUCUUCUUCUCUCCCUCCUCGUCUUCAGGGGAGGAGUCCUCAUCGUCGUCAGACGCCUGAUUACUGGAACUCUUUCGAGUCCCCGUGGCCACCUUCUUGGCCUUCUUCUCCGGCACGACGUGCGGUGCCGGAACCAGCAGCCCUGCUAAGCGGGCAUCCACUGGUUCUUCUGGCAUGGGAGCCGGGCUGAUGAGCAGCUUGGCCUUCUCCAUCCACUCCGGUCAAAGGAAGAGGCAGAUUAAAAACCUCACUAGAGUCAAUCUAAUUAUCACAAGUGUCCCGUAAUGGGGUUGAAUCACUUACCUCGUCAGUCGGAGACUGCGAGCUGAAUCCGCGGUCUUCGGUCACGGAUGCAGGGGCUUCGGCGCCCUUGAACAGCACCCUCCAGGCACCUUCGUGUAUUGUAUCGAAGAGCCCGCUUAACGUCUGGUGCUGUUCUGGAUUAAACUCCCACAAAUUGAAUGCCCGUUCUUGGCAUGGGAGAAUCCGCCGGAGGAGCAUGACUUGGACCACAUCGACGAGCCAGAGCCUAUUGCUCACCAUCUUCUUGAUGCAGGCUCGGAGUCCCGUCAACUCCACCAGAUCACCCCACUGCAAGCCCUGCUCUUUCCAGGAGGUGAGCUGCGUGGGGAUUCCAGAUCUAAAUUCGGGGGCCGCCGCCCAUGUAGGCUUGCGCGGCUCGGUGAUGUAGAACCACCCCGAUUGCCACCCCUUGACGGAAUCCACGAAGGUCCCUUCUAGCCAAGGGACGUUGGGCAGCUUGCCCAACAUGGCGCCUCCGCAUUCUGCUUGCGUCCCCUUCACAACCUUCGGCUUGACGUUGAAGGUCUUGAGCCACAGGCCGAAGUGGGGCUGGAUGCAGAGAAAGGCCUCGCACACGACGAUAAACGCCGAGAUGUUGAGGAUGAAGUUCGGCGCCAGAUCGUGGAAAUCCAGGCCGUAGUAAAACAUGAGCCCCCGGACAAAUGGAUGGAGCGGAAAGCCCAGUCCGCGGAGGAAGUGGGGGAGGAAGACGACCCUCUCAUGAGGCCCUGGGGUAGGGAUGAGGUGCCCCGCGUCGGGCAGCCGAUGCGCAAUAUCGCCGGAAAGGUAUCCGGCGUCGUGCAGCUUGGUGAUGUCCUCCUCCUUAGCGGUGGAGGCCAUCCAUUUACCUCCCGCUCCGGACAUAUUCGGAGAAAGGUCGAGGAGAGAUGUGCGAGCUUGGGCGUUGGAGCUUGAGUUCGCAGGGAUGAAUGAGCAAAGGAGGAAGAAGGCGUAGGUGAGAAGGUAAAUCCUUAUCCCUUUUAUAUAGGCGGACAAAACUAUGCGUCCCUCACCAGCCUGGUAAAACUCACUUAUCUCCCAAGCGCCACCAUCAAUGGCGCGGUUGGGUUACCCACGCACGUAUUGAUGAGGAUCCCGAAUAAGGGGAACACGAUCUCUGCUUCGACAAGACGUGCCAAGGAAACCGCUUCGCCAAACGUGCUGAGGUGGAAUAGUGAAAAAUGAUUCAAACGAGGGCUUGGCUGCGGUGUGAUGUCACGCCGCAUAAUACGUCAGCAGAUUGAGCUAAGUGUAUAUUUUAUUCUCUCUACGGUGGAAUGUGGAAUUUAUUUUGCAGAGCCGGACACUAUCCUGGUGUUCAUUAUCUUCUCCGGAUUAUUCAAGGGAGGAACCCGCCUUGCAAUGCCAAACAUUAUGCACACCAGACUUAUUGUCAUUGAAGACUGGUUCAGGGGCUACUGAGAGAGUCCUGGACUAGGGGGUGUCCGGACAGCCGGACUAUCAAUAUCCGCCGGACUCCAAGACUACGAAGAUAGAAGAUUGAAGACUCCGGCUCGUGUCCGGAAGGUACUUCCCUUGGCGUGGAAGGCAAGCUUGGCGAUACGGAUACGUAGAUCUCCUACCACUGUAACCGACUCUGUGUAACCCUAGCCUCUCCGGUGUCUAUAUAAACUGGAGGGCCUUAGUUCGUAGGACGAACAUACAUCUCAACAAUCAUACCAUAGGCUAGCUUCUAGGGUUUAGCCUCCUUGGUCUCGUGGUAGAUCUACUCUUGUACUACCCAUAUCAUCAAUAUUAAUCAAGCAGGACGUAGGGUUUUACCUCCAUCGAGAGGGCCCGAACCUGGGUAAAAACAUCGUGUCCCUCGUCUCUUGUUACCAUCCGCCUAGACGCACAGUUCAGGACCCCCUACCCGAGAUCCGCCGGUUUUGACACUGACAGUAAUCAAUCUAGAAAUCAUACCAAGGUUACAGAAUGAUUUGGUGCAAUGUCUUGUCAGUUUCGAGUUGGUGUUCCCACCAUCCUUCUUCAACAUCAUGACACACGUCCUAGUUCACCUAUGCGAAGAGAUUAACGUUUUGGGUCCUGUAUUUCUAUAAAGUAUGUUCCCCUUUGAGAGGUUCAUCGGAGUCUUAAAGAAAUAUGUCCAUAACCGUGCUAGGCCAGAAGGAAGCAUCUCCAAGGGCCAUCAAAAUGAGGAGGUCAUUGAGUUUUGUAUUGACUUUAUUCCUGACCUUAAGCCGAUUGGUGUUCCUGAAUCGCGGCAUAUGGGUAGACUGGAUGGAAAAGGAACGCUAGGAGGGGAACAAAUAAUAUGUAUGGACGGACAUUCUCUUACUGAAGCACACUACACAGUUCUACAGAAUUCCGCCUUGGUGGCUUCGUAUAUGGAUGAACACAAGAAUCUGCUACGCUCCAAACACCCGGAGCGGUCUGAUGACUGGAUUUCACAUGAACAAACCAGGAGUUUCGCCAGCUGGUUGCAGACACAUACCAUGCAUGACACCUCUAUUGAAGAUGACCUGUACUUGCUGUCCCAGUUACCAUCUUCGAAUAUAAUGACUUUCAAAGGGUACAAGAUAAAUGGUAAUACAUUUUACAUGAUCGCCCAAGAUAAGAAGAGCACCAACCAAAACAGUGGUGUCCGCUUUGAUGGAGAAACCAAGACGGGAAAGGAAACAUAUUAUGGUUAUAUACAGGACAUAUGGGAACUUGACUAUCGACGUGGUUUAAAGGUCCCUUUGUUUCGGUGCAAAUGGGUCAAUAUGACACGAGGCGGGGUAACGGAAGACCCGCAGUACGGAAUGACAACAGUGGAUCUCAACAAUCUUGCGUAUGCAGACGAACCAUUCGUCCUAGCCAAUGAUGUGGCACAGGUUUUCUAUGUGAAGGACAUGUCUACCAAGCCAAGAAAAAGAAAAGAUAAGGAAGCGAAUGCAUCGUACGAUGAGCCAAAGCGGCACAUAGUUCUUUCUGGGAAGAGAAACAUCGUGGGAGUGGAUGACAAGACAGACAAGUCAGAAGAUUAUGAAAAGUUUGAUGAAAUUGCUCCAUUCACAGUGAAUAUUGACCCGAGCAUCCCGUUAAAUGAUGAAGUUUUUCCAUGGUUACGGCGCAAAGGGACACAUGCGAAGAAAAAGUUUCACACCCAAAGAUCUGGGAUGUGAUCGGCUUCACUAUCAUCACUUUCUUCCGUGUUUCACACCCAGGAGGGAAUGUCUGUAAUAGUUAGGGUAGUUAUGUGUUUUGGCAUUUGAAACGCGAAGAAAUUUUAUGUGCAAACAAAUUCUUUUCAUGCAUUUACUGAUUUUUUUUCCAGCUAAAUGACCCUGAAAUUGAAAAGCAUUUCAAAUGAACUCAGAAAAGGUUGAAAGUUGGCAUGGUAUCAUAAUUUCAUACAAAUAGCAUGUGCAAGAAAGUAGAGAGGGUUACGGCAAAAACUGGAUGCACUUCGUGUACAAAAUGGACAAUCUCUUUCGAAGUAUCAAGGUUUCCGACAAAAACUGAACUGUUACAAAGGCAUUUCAUUUUUUAAAUCACCUAAGCAUUACUAAAUUGAAUAUAAUGAUAAAACACACUAAUAUUAAACAUAAGAAAAAAGAAUCACUGAAAAAACUUUUUUCAAAGUUAAGUUAUUCACAAACUAGUGAUUCACACAAAUUUCAAAUAAUUCAAAAUUUAAACUAUUCAAAUUUGAAAUCUACCGGCACUAACAGAAAGUUUGUAAUUUUUUGUACCUAAAGCAAAAACAUUCACAAAGAAACUCUAAAUACAGCAAAAAACAACUCAAAAAUAAAUAAAACAAAAAUAAAUAAAGCGAAAAAAAAUUAAGAAAAAAAAGCCCGCCUACUGGGCCAAAGCGGCCUGCAUACGACUAGCAACACAACCUUUUAUUGGGCCAGGAUGCAGGCCCGCACAGGCCCAGUAGGCCCACUAGGCGAAGAGGACAGGUAGGCCCAGUAGGCCUGAUUAGGAGAGGAGCUCGAGAGAGCUACCGCACUGGGGCUUAUGAACCAGUGCGGUAGCCCCUCGACUAGCGAGAUGGGACUAAACUUGCGCACCACCUGGAGCCAGCGCACCCCGUUUAGUACCGGGUCGUGGCUCCAACCGGUACUAAAGACCCCCCCCCCCUUUAGUACCGGUUGGUGCCACGACCCGGUACUAAAGGGGGUGCGGUUCCCGCCGCUUGGCCGGGCCAAAACAGGCCUUUAGUACCGGUUGGUGGCUCCAACCGGUACUNNNNNNNNNNNNNNNNNNNNNNNNNNNNNNNNNNNNNNNNNNNNNNNNNNNNNNNNNNNNNNNNNNNNNNNNNNNNNNNNNNNNNNNNNNNNNNNNNNNNNNNNNNNNNNNNNNNNNNNNNNNNNNNNNNNNNNNNNNNNNNNNNNNNNNNNNNNNNNNNNNNNNNNNNNNNNNNNNNNNNNNNNNNNNNNNNNNNNNNNNNNNNNNNNNNNNNNNNNNNNNNNNNNNNNNNNNNNNNNNNNNNNNNNNNNNNNNNNNNNNNNNNNNNNNNNNNNNNNNNNNNNNNNNNNNNNNNNNNNNNNNNNNNNNNNNNNNNNNNNNNNNNNNNNNNNNNNNNNNNNNNNNNNNNNNNNNNNNNNNNNNNNNNNNNNNNNNNNNNNNNNNNNNNNNNNNNNNNNNNNNNNNNNNNNNNNNNNNNNNNNNNNNNNNNNNNNNNNNNNNNNNNNNNNNNNNNNNNNNNNNNNNNNNNNNNNNNNNNNNNNNNNNNNNNNNNNNNNNNNNNNNNNNNNNNNNNNNNNNNNNNNNNNNNNNNNNNNNNNNNNNNNNNNNNNNNNNNNNNNNNNNNNNNNNNNNNNNNNNNNNNNNNNNNNNNNNNNNNNNNNNNNNNNNNNNNNNNNNNNNNNNNNCCAUACACACACACACAAGCAUGCAUGCAUGAUGAACACACACACACACACAUGUAUGAAUUAAUGCAUGUAUAUAUUAGUAUAUACGUAUUUUGUAUGUUUAAUUAGUUUAGAUUAUUUAGAUUAUUAUUUUUUCACUAUUAUAUAUGUAUGAAUGCAUGUUAGAUGGAUAUAAUUAGUGUUUAAUUAGUAUGGAAAUUUUUUAUAUAAUGUUGUUUCAGUUUUUUAAUGGAUGUAUAUAUAGAAGUUGUGUUUUCUGUUUUUAGUGUUAGAUGCUUAAUUAGUAUGAAAUAGUAUAUAGAUUUUUGACAUAUGCAAUGAUAGCAUAAUUAGUGUUAUAUAGAAAUGUUAGAAAUUUUAGUUAUCAAAAUCCAAUCAUUAAAAAAAUGUUACUUUUUGCGGGCAUAUAGCUAGUAUUUGUUCUCGACGAUGCCCGGCCCGCAUCCUCGCCGUCGACCCGUCCGCGACGACGUCCAGCCGACCCAUGUCUGGGACUGGGCUCCGCCGGGCUGGCACUGGGAGGUGCUGCUUAGAGGGGCGCGCCACUUGAUGAGGAACCCGGCCCCGGGUCCCGUCGUCGACCCUGAUCUUGUUUGGUGGCGUUCGCGUGGGCCAGUUUCGGUGUGGAGGGACCCGGCCCCGCCGGAGGUGGUACGUCGCCGUGUCAGGGAGGAGGACGAGCACGUCCAUCGCUACAUGGUUGCGUUAGAGGACGGCAGGUUCUCCAAUACAUGGCAGUUUCUUCGGGGAUCUCACUUCAGCUAUGAUCCUGUGAGGGUUCCUUCUCUUUGGGUGUCCACCGCCCGCGCCGCAGGAACCGCGAGUGUCCUAGAUUCUUCUGUAGUAUUCAAUCUUUAAUUAGCUACCUAGCCAGUGAUGUACUAUUCAAUAUUAUAUAUUAUAUGAGACGAUGUAUUCGAGAUUAUAUCUAUUAUUCUAGAUGAUGUAUUCGAGAUUAUAUCUAUUAUUCGAGACGAUGUAAUUUGAAUACUAAAUUGUUUUAUAUUUCUUUUGGAUUAGUUAAAUAAAAGCUAUGGCAGACAAUACCGACAGAGAGGGAGAAUAGACCAUGUUCGAUAUGAUACGCGGGCCAGAUGAUGAUCAGAAUGAAGAAGAUUAUGACGGCUCCGAAUUUCUAAACAACACCGGAGAGGGUGAUAUGAUAUUCGAUCGCGACGACCGAAUUGAUGAAGUCAUGAACUACGAUUAUGAAGAUGACGAAGAACAUGUUGAUCCUGAAAUAACAAAGACCGGCGAGGUAUAUAUAUUUAUAUAAGCAGGCAUCUGGUGAUCAUCACAUGUUUUAAAUGACUUGAAGAUAUAUAUUAACGAAUCGAUCUUUGUUCUUUCAGCCAUCCGGAUCGAGCAAAUCUUCAGGCAAAAGGACGAAACGAGGCCCGAACAAAAAGUUGACGGCGGGCGUAAAGUACAAUAUCGAGGCAUGCAGACCUAAUGGCGAACCAUUAGCGCCUAAGAAGAUUCCGGACAAGUUCGUUCGUCAGUGCAGAGUUCUUGUGAAGGACCAACUCCCGAUCAAACUUCAAGAAUGGAGAGAGCCAGCAAAGCAACGUCCAGAUGUUACUUUUGUCGACAAGAAUCAAAAAGAUCUGCUUUGGGAUACUCUUAUGGAACAUUUCACCCUACCAGAUCAUUUCACAGAAGCAGAUGUGCAGAAAGUCAAGGACGUUGCUCUUAGGAAGAUGGCGGUUGCAUUCAAGAACCACAAGAAUCGUGAAUGGGACAAGUACGUCAAGGGAGGAAGGAAGACUCUAGUAUUCGAGGGAACACUAGAGAACCAACGUGCUCAUUGGGACGAUUUCAUGAAAUUCAAGGAUUCGGAAUUAGCUAAGGAACGGUCGAGAAUAAACAAGAAGAAUGCUGAAAAAAAGGAUAAGUUCCAUAAGCUGGGGCCAGGUGGCUAUGCGGUGGCAAUGCCUAAGUGGGAUAAGUCUGAGAAAGAGAUGGAGGAUGCAGGUGUCACUCCGGUUACUAAGAGCUGGCCCCCCAGGGUCAGGACUUGGUUCUAUGCGCAUGGGGGGAGUUGGACCCGGAGACAGGCAAUGUUUCGACGAGGGCAAGUCUGAAGGGAGCUGACGAUGCGAUACUUGUUGCAAUAGAAGAGGCACGAUCGGGGGUGUUCCAGCCCAACAGAGAGAACGACGAGCUUACGCGUGCCCUGGGAAAUCCUGAACACCCGGGAAGAACACGAAGCAAGGGCUCUAUUGCGUGGUAUGAGGGGAUUUCAGACUGGAACACCGACUACAGAACCCGUGCGAGAAAGAAGAUUGCAGAGGAGAAGAAGAGGAAGAUGGAGGAGGAGCAGAGGAAGCGGGACUAUGAAUGCCUUCAAGGCCUAGAAGCAAGUCAAGCGGAAUGGGCAAUCAAAUUCCAGCGGCAGCAGGAGCAGAUCGACUCACUUACCCAGCAAAGGGGGUCUCAGCAGCUGCAGCAGCUAGCGGAUGAUCCAGCAUUGGAUAGCACCGCCCCAUCCAUGCCGAGAAGCAGCGUGGGUUCCGUCCCGGACGACGCAAUACUGGGUAGAUACCCCGUGGAUGACAUCACGGAGAACACUAACUGCGAGCUACACGUCAAAAUGAAGAACAUAUCCAUGAAGGUGGCGAACGACAUUGCUUUUACAAAUCCCCCCGAGGCAACCUUCCAUUGCAACCCGAUUCCAGCGAGCUAUGCUCGUGUCUUGGUUGAUGAGGUGGUGGACCCACCAUAUUCGGAGCUACAGCUUGACAUUCCUGGAGGUGACGACGAGCGCUUUCUCGGAGAGGCCAAACAUCGUAUCAUCCUAUGGAAAAAGGAUUGCAUCAUCUUUCGAAGGCCACCGACACCGCGUCAGCCGACUCCUUGUCGAAGUCCGCCACCGAGUCAGUAGACUCCCGCUCCUGCAAGUCCACCAAGUCCGGAAAAGUGUCAGGCCACUCCUCCUCCAAGUCCGGCAAAGUGUCAGGCCACUCCUCCUCCUCCAAGUCUGCCACAGCGUCAGACGUCCACUCCUCCUCCAAGUCCGGCACAACCUCAGGCCACUCCUCCUCCAAGUCCGGCACAGCUUCAGGACACUCCUCCUCGUCCAACUCAGCCCCGUCAGCCGUCUCCGCCGCCUCAGCAAUCGCAGAAGAGACACCCCGCAGCUAUGGUGUGUAGCGAUACGAGUCGAGGUAGUACAUGAAGUACAGGCGGAGGCAAGCGAUAUAAAUAGGGUCCAAGCCUCACGCCUCUUCCGCAGAGGGCUUAUGAUAGGUCCGAGGAGGAAAUCGCAGCCAUAUCGAAGGCCGAGGUGGAAGCCCAUUUUGCACCGAAACCGCCACCGCCGCCAAGGGAGAAAGUGCCUGAGGAAACGAUUGACCACUUCAUUCGUAUGGCUCAACCACCAGCUCCCAAGCCUGUUGACACAGACUAUGAGCGCCACAUCAGGAAGUUAAAUCGAGCACGUCUACGUAAGGAGGCGAGCACGUCUACAUCGGGAUCGAGCAAACAAGAAGCAGUUGUCAAAAAAUGCGGGAAAACCAUUCCCCAGCUGGGAGAACAGGCGGCGCAAUCGAUCCCCUCGCUUGUUGUGCCAACAACACGUGACAGUACGCGCGCCCAAUAUUAUUGUGGGCAAACAGUUUACGUUCCCGAGGUGGGCAAUGUGGUAAUAACGGAGGAGCAUAUAAUGCAGGCUGAAGUUCUCAACAUCACUGUUGGACAACUCCUCGAGAUCGAACCCAUGCCUUUGCUUAGAGAGGAUAAAAUAAAACAGAAAUAUGUCCGGGGCCAACCUUUGGUUGAGCCAGACAAGGUCAAGAACCUCCCAACGAGAAUGUAUGAAUUGCAUCAAUGGUACAUGAACAUUACCAAGAUUUCAGAUCGAUUGUCCCUCAUGGUGAAUGUCAAGGAGGAGCAUUACUUCCAUGAGAAAGCUCUAUCCGUUGAGUAUUCCGAACUAUUUCAGUUAUACAAUCAAGACGCACACGACAAAUCUAUCGUCAGUUGCUAUUGUCUGUAAGUGAUUUCUUUCUGUAAUUUAAGUCUCAAGCUAGCUGUAGUGAUCCUUUUGAUCAAUCAUUACCUGUAAUUAUCCUCACUAUAUUCCUUUCUGUGGUAUUAUGCAGGAUGAAGAUGUAUGAAAUGAGAAAAGGUGGACGCUUUGGCAUUGGGUUCAUUGACCCAAACACCGUUAAUGAAUACACAUGGCUAAUAAAUCCAUAUCAUCAAAAGAACGUAGAGGACAACAUGCUAGAGUUCUUGAAGCGCCUCAAAUACAAUGAAGAUAUACUACUUCCUUACAACUUCCAGUGAGUCACUCUGUCUUGUACUACAAAUUCUCUGUUUUUGCCUACUAGCUAGCUACAUGUUUUUGCUUACAUAUGCCCGCUUAAUUAAGACAUGCAAACGUGUGUGCAUGCAGAUUUCACUGGAUCUUGUGUAUCACUAAAGUUGACGUCGGAACAGUUGAAGUACUGGACUCUCUACUCAAAGCAAAAACUGACUAUAACAUCUUGUUUGGGAUAGUCAACAUGUAAUUUCAAUCAUUAUUAACUAUAUAUCUCGGCCUAUUUAGUUCGUCAUUUCAUGAUAUGAACUAUUUAAUAAUACCUUUAUUCAUUUUCUUUGUCGGCGGGCAGGGCUUGGGCAAGGUUCAUCAGCGUCACGGAAGGCUAAUGGAAAAAAAGCUUAAAUGGUUUCGACCCAAGGUAAGUAUUUAAGUAGUACUAGCUAGGUAGCUAGUUGUCAUCUCUUUAAUUAUCAUGCUUAAUUAAUUUUUAUCUGAUCAAAUUCCAUUCUCGUAAAGGCCCUGAAGCAGGCGCAGGGGACUGAUCUGUGUGCAUUCUGCGUUUGCGAGAACAUUCGCAUGAUGGCGUCCGAAAGGAGCAGAUCUCAAAGACAGAAAUGAGUACGCAUGUCAGAACACUAUUCACAAUUUUUACACCAUUAUCGAUAUCUAGUCACACAAGUAAUACACAUGCAUAUUGAUCUCCUUCUUAACAGUUCAAAGAGGUGCAGGAGAAGCUCCUAGAAACGGAGCGCGUAGAAGCACUUCAAGAGGAAAUAGCGGGAUUUUUGCUCGACCAGGUCAUAAAUCCGAAGGGAGAAUACUAUUACCCGCUACCGCCCCAUGAAAACCACUUCCAAUUGUCAUCGUGCUCCGAAGGCACCAAUUAGGCUAAUGCCACUGGCUCCGAAGGCAACAUGCAUAGUAGGAGAAAUUGUAUAUAGCUAUACAUGUGUGUAUGUGUGAAUUAAUUAAUAUGGUGGUUUGUGAGACAUUGAUGAUAUAUAUAUGCAUGAUUGGUUCUCUCUCUCUCUCUUUCUCUCUCUCUCUCUAUAUAUAUAUAACGUGUACAAUGUGUAGUAUCGUCAAAUACCAGCAAACGAAAAAGAAUUAAAAUGGAAAUACAAAAUUAAAUGAAAAAUAAAUCAUAAAACUAAAACCCCCCCAAACCUUAUAGUACCGGUUGGUCUUACCAACCGGUACUAAAGGGCUCCAGGCCCCCGGAGCUGGCUCGUGCCACGUGGUUGCCCUUUAGCACCGGUUCGUGCUGAACCGGUACUAAAGGAGGGGGCCUUUAGUGCCCACACUUUAGUGCCGGUUAUGAAACCGGCACUAAAGGGCCUUACGAACCGGUGCUAUUGCCCGGUUCUGCACUAGUGAAUGGGACACAACCCCGUCACUACCGACAAUCGUCGCCUUGCAAGAUCGCACGAUGCCAUGCCGGUGGCCUUUGACGUUGAUCUGUCUGACAGCGUAUCGGUGUCCCAUUCACCACAAUCGCCCAUCCUACCCGUAGGGAUAGGGAACUCCUCGCCCACGGGAACCACAUGGAACGAGACCAUUUUCACCUACCCGGAGCGGCAAUUUCAACCUGCCCCGGGCCCAUAUCUGGCUGCCCAAGCACGGACCCUAGGUCAAAGCCACUACCACUGCAUGCACACCUGCAUGCCGCGGCUCAAACCCAGGAGAAGGAAGACCGCAAACACUGCCAUGUGCCUCCAACAAGACAACAACCACGACAUUGUAGCCACCACAGAAUCGCCGCACUGUACCUACCCGUCUCACCCCAUAUCUGAGCAAGUGCGGGCCCAAGACCACUGCCAUCGCCGGCUCAGACCCAGGAGAAGGAAGAUCGCAAACAGAACCAUGUGCUUCCAACAAGAUAAUGGCUACGACGUUGUAGCCACCACAUGACCACCACACUGCACCGACCCGUCUCACCCCAGAUCUGAACUACUGCGGGCCCAAGACCACUGCUGUCGCCGGCCACCAAUGCCGAAGGCAUAGAAGCAGCCAUGGGCUAGCAGCGUGCGCCACAACCCUCAUCGCCAAUGGCUGCCACAACGCAAAUCAGGAUGAUGCCCACACUAUCGCCAACGCCACCACCAACAUGCCCCGGCACCGGCUGCACCACCCAACACCCAGACGCCGCACCUUUAUAUCACCUCCGCGCCUGUGCGCCACUGUGCCACAGCAACCAGUGCAUGCUCCACGUGCUGAUCCGCAAAAGGCACCCCGAAUGCGAGGGGAAGGAGCAGCCCCUCCACCGCCAGCUCCUGCCGAGCUUUUCCCUACGGAGCGACGGCGAGGGAAAUGGAGGGAGGAGAGGAGAACAACGGUGGCGCGCUAGGGUUCCCUCCUCGACUCCUCGUCGCCAUUUAGAGGUGACGCAGGAAGGGCUGGAGGGAACGAACGUUUUUUUGUCCAGGACGAAUCCCUUGAAGAUGAAGUCAUUCGGGGGCAGCGAAAUAUUCGAGGUGACAAAAGCAAUAAUCUCCAUAGGAAAAGGAACAACUGGGGCCUCCUUGUUAAGGUGAUCGACAUAACUUAUAAACUCUGAGCACAUGGGUAGUCAAAGAAAAUAUGCCAGCCUCCGUUUGUGAAACAUGUAUAGAUUACGAAGAACACAAUCAUAGGAAAGGAGGUUUUGAAAGAGUGCCUGAAAUAUUGCAUAUUGCCCAGGUGGAUGUUUUCUGGUUAGCUGGUCCCCAAGCGAUAUUUUCCGAAAACUACAAAUGUACUACUCCGUGAGAUCCGAUGAUGUUUCUACGUUCUAGCUAGUGAUGUAUACAUGUAUGGUGAUCAUGCGACGUUCGUCUUCAUGUACAAAGAUGACAAACGGUGUGUGGAAAGUAUAGUGAUGUAUACAUGUAUGGUGAUCAUGCAUGGAGCAUCUGACUAGGCGACUAGCUACCUCUGUGUGGAAAGUAUUGUUUGGCCUCAACUAGAGUCGCUAUUCGCUACCUCAGAUAUAUUCUUGUCUGGACAGUAUGUGGUCCAUUGUGCAGUUCGUUCAGUGGCCAACCAUCCUGGAAACUGGCUGCAGAGCCAUAUCCGAGCUAAUUUGUGCGCCACUGAGUGAAAAACUUUCUUGAAAAAGGAUACGCUCACGUAGAUAGUCGACGAAAGCUUAUAAGUACAAAGUAGAAAGGUGUUAGACAUAGGGAUACACUAGGAACAAUGAGCAAACAUCAGUCGAUUAGGUUUUUUGUUGAAGAACUUACCAGUCAGAUUCAAGUCCUGAUUAGAAUUUUUUUCUAGCAGAACUUACCAGGUAGAUUCAAGUCCUAGAUUUGACAUAGCUGCUUGCACUUUCUUGGAUUUAUGCUGGAAUAUUCUUUCAGUGGUGAGCGACUUGCCCAUUGAAAGCAAGGGGGUGUGCAUUUAUGCGUCCAUAGGGCUCAAGCUAUGUACGUAAAUGUGAAGGCCUGCAUUUGUACUACGUUUCGCAAAUAAUGGAACAAGGUCCUUGCCAUUGGCGUCACCGAGGCAUCUGUCUGAUUUUCAGCUUUGUUAUUAUGAACUGCGGAGACCAUAAGUAACUCGACGCCUCGAUCCAUAAGACCAGCCCUUCACACUAGACCUAACCAUGGGUAGCAUAGGCAUGAAGCCUUGCUUCUGGCGGGCUCAAGCUCUACUUUUCCACCUGAAGUCUAGCCCAAAACCAAAAAAUACUAAAAUGGCUGAAAAAUAGUAUUUUAUUUAAAAUAGAUAUUUUUAUGUCCUAAGAAGAAUAAAAUUAAAUAAGAAUUACAGUGCUCGUGUGUUUUGUGUGGAGCCCACCAUGAGAGGUGGGAGCAGAAAAUCGGUGGUCAACUACUAUAUGAGCUGAGUUCAAACCGAUCUUGUCAUGCCGCUUCCAUGUGGUUGCAUCAUAGAGGGAAGACCUGAUCUUAGUUAUGCCGAAUCCAAAACCAUGUGAGGCCAGCAUUUUUUGAGGGCAUGUGCCACCAUCACCCCGCUAUCUUACCGCUGCCAUCCAAAUACUGGCGAACUAGUUUAGCUAUGGCAAGGACUGGCGAACGCACUAAACAAGACAAUGGUAAUACCCUUCCCUAUGGCCCAAGAUAUCGAUGUAGCGGCCAAAAAGUGGAAGGGAUAGCACUUGGAUAUGGUUUGUGGCGGGCUUGUGAUAUCUAGUACACUCUUGGGCCGUGCGACAAAUUUGGAAUUUACCCACUCUAUGUUGAUUGUAUUGCCUUUUUGUCACUAAAAUAUGUCAGAUAUCGCUCAAAAAAAAACUAAAAUAUGUCAGAUUAUACAACUGGUUGUACCACAAACCCAGAUGCAUCCGAUAUUUUUUGGCCCUUGGUAAUAAAUGGCAUCUCCAUCCUUCGCUGUUUCUCUAGUUUUGAUAUUUUUCACAACUUUUACUGAUAUUUUAGCUUGCCUUAGUGCACGUUGCACCACAAACCCGGAUACACCUGAUAUUUUCUCGUCGUUGGCAAUACACAAAUGGUCUCUUCACCCUGGGCUAUAUAUCUCUCCAUCUUGUAGGAACUGGGGAUUCCUGGUUGGAAAUAAACAUACGGAGUGAGGAUAAGGAGCGUCUCCUCUUCUAUUGGUUGCUUGAUAUCUUCUUUGACUGGCCCAGACCACAUGGGAAGAGCGUUUCCCCGAUAGGUGCCCGUCGUCAACCGUGUAUUUGCGUCUCAAGUGACGACAGGACGGCGACGUGGCGUAUGACGUCGGUUCCCAGCUGCUUUCAGCGACGUGUAUACAUGCCAAUGUGUUGGGAAGAAAAAUGGAAUCAGGGGACGUGAAGGCGAUGACGACGUGUAUGGUUCCGCUCGGGUAACCAAAAAAUGCCUUUUUCUGCUUCAAUUUAAGAAUGAAUUAGGGUUGUAUGUGUGUUUUCAUAGGGAUGAGUGUGUACAUCCAUUCUCAUCAAAUCUCCUCUCGGCUUCACUCACUGGAAAAAUGGCUCAAUCCGCGGCAAGUCAUAUAAUCGACCCGUCCCCCUGGUUAUAACAAAAAUGCUAGACAUACAAAGACUCACACGCUUUUACACGCUCCUUCCAUCUAACAACCAAUCACAAACCUCUCCCCCCCCUGAUUUUCAGAGGGGUGGGCCGCCCCGCUCAACUAUUAACCAAUCAAGGUUAACCAUCCUGUAAUAGCCUGUAAAUCGUUUGUACAUGUAGCAUUGCUGUGGUUAUAAUACCACGCUGGGGCCCCACCCAAACGCUAACCCUUCCCCGGUACCCACAUUAUCCCCAACUCGCCAGCGCAAAUGCCCCAAAUAGUUGGCGCUGUUGCCAGGCACUAGUAGAAAAGGGGCCAUUUGUCCCGGUUGGUUAGGGCCUUUUGUUCCGGUUAUUGAACCGAGAUUAAAUGGUCGUUACUAAUGCCCUGGCCCUUUAGUCCCGGUUCUUACACGAACCGGGACAGAUGGAGCUCCACGUGGCCGGUGCACCGAGCCCAGGCAGGAGGGCCUUUGGUCCCGGUUGGUGGCAUCCACCGGGACCAAAAGGCAUCCACGCGUCAGUAUUUCAGGGGCUGGGGUUUUUUUUAAGGGGGGCGGGGGUUGGGGGUUUUGGGGGGUUAAUUUAGGUGUUUCAUAUACUGUGUUAGCUAGCUAAUUAAUAGGGAGAAGUGUCCUCUCUUAUCUCUGUGCUUGGUCGAUGAUACGUACUAUACAUAGAGAGGCCCUCGACACGCUAGCUAGUAAGAAAAUGAAGGAAACCAUUAAGUGUAGAAGUUCGUCAUGCAUACCGAGAGAAGUGAUCGAUCGACCUCUCCUUCUCCGAGAGGUUGGUCGGACAACAAGUUUUCGUAUUAUCCAUCCGACGCUACUGGCUACAUACAUAUACAAUAUGUAAGAUCUCUUACAAUCCCCUAGCAAUUGAAAUCAACUUCCACAUGGUAUUCUCCGACUUUAUUGAUGAUGUGGUCAAGAAAGAAUCCCGCCAAUUCCUCUUGAAUUGCUUUCAUGCGAUCUUGUGGUAGGAUUUCAUUCCGCAUUUGCCACGUUUAAUUUGAAGAAGGGGGUUAAUACAUAUAUAUGAAUGAAACUCAACAGAAAUGAUGGUGUAAUAAAAUGAAAUUGUGAAUAUUAUUGCUUACGCAAUUCAUAUUGUCCUUUAGAGUAGCCCCGCUUAUUUUUCAAAGUCGCGGUGUAGAUGAACUCGCACACGUAGUAUCCGCAGUAAUUAUUCCCUUGUUCCUGCCACAAGCACUUUACGAGAAAUAGAGAUCAAUCAAACUGAUAAUGAAGCAUUAUAAAUGGAAUUGAUGAAAGUAUAGCUAUAGAAUCAAUGGGAGAUGCGCGCAACUAGCUAGCCAGUAGUACUUACUUUCGGGUAUGUAUAUCGCAGCUCCUUCGGCAGUCCCGGAGCUUCUGCGGUGAACUGUUUCCAAACACUGCAAGACAAAAAAAAAUAAUUAUUAUUACUUCAGAUAUCAGGAAAUGAACAAAAAGUUGCCGAUAUGGUGCGAUAAUGAUCGAUUGAACUUACUUGUUGAGCAUUUUAGUCAUGCCCGCAUAGGAUUCGGCAUUUUUUCGUCUCGAGUCUAAGACGGUUACUAGUCCCCGCUCAAGCUUAAUCUCCAGAAGAACAUAGUGGAAGCUGCGCACGCAUGCAUAACUCAUCAAUUACAUUACUAUAAUCUCGCUCGAGUAAUAAGGGAAACCGAAUAUGCACACGACAGUAACACUCACUUGAAGUUGUAAGGAAAGAGUAUGGUAUCUUUGUUUUGAUUUUUGAUCAACGGUUGUAGCAAGUUGGCCUCGACGUCUUCGGCGUGCUUUUUAACCUGAAUUUCAUCUAUGAUAUUUGUGUUAAUGAACCCAAUAUUAUACAUUUCUUGUUUUCUGCACUCGACGAUCUUUAAUCUGCAUAAUAUAGUGAGGAUAAUUAAUUAUAAAUACAUGCAAUGAAAGAGCCGAGCUAUAUAUAGAGACUUAAUGACAGAAAUAGUACUUACAGACAGUAGCAAAAGACCGUUAAUUUAUCGAGGGCCUUUUGAUUGAAGAACUCGAAGAACUCCUCAAAUGGAACAGGCAACAGAUCUGUUCCAACGACGUCGUGCUGCUCUUUAAUUCUCAGAUACAAAGUAUUCGUCCGCCUAGACUCUCUAUAGGUUUUCAUGUACCAAUUAUGGAAUCUUUGCAUCAUCAUUGUUAGAGAUUUUUCAUCUUUGACGAGAGGCUUCCCGUACUCGUAUCUGUGUUCGUCCACCUCCAUGAAAUCAAAAUUUACAUCGUCAGGCAGGUAAUCUGCAAGAUUGCCAUAACCGGGCACCGUCCCCGGAGCAUUAGCGACGAUGUCGCCGCUAGACACAUUGAGCGGGGGGCACGAUUGAUUUGCUUGUUCGCCGAGCUGGGCAAUUUUUUCGCAGCUGCUCGUUCUUUUGACCUUUGAUGUCUGACAGUACUUACCGACCGCUCCGCUUCGAGAUAUGUCUGUUUAGUAAUGCGCUCAUAGUUGGUUCUCGGCGGAGACUUUGGUGGUUUCCUCAGGGCAUCGAUAGUGCGCUUUGCUUUCACCGGAUCUACCUUCUCCUCCGGAGGUGGAUGUAUCUUUGCUUUCAACCCUUCAAAGAAGUCGUCCACUUCGGCCCGCACGAUCUUCGCAUUUUCCUCCUCGGUCCUCUCGUACGGUAACUUCUUUAGAGGCUUGAGAGAAGGACCGUAUCUGUAUUGCCUCCCGCCUCUGGCUGUACUGCUAGACGCCGGAGCAGACGGAGCGGUUGCGGUGCCUGUCUUCUUUCGUGCUUGCUUACGAGGCGGAGGAGAAGUACUACGACGCGCUAGAGCAGCCGAGGCGGCGGCGGGUCUCUUCCGCCCUUGCUGGCGAGGUGCAGAAGGAGGAGGCCGCUGGCUGCUCGGGCGCGCCGGCGCAGGCGGAGAAGGAGGCAGAGUGCCGCCACGCGCCGUUGAAAUAGGCCGAGUGCCCUGAUCGUCACUCGCCAGAGGAGGAGGCGGUGGAGGAGGUGGAGUUCCCUGACUCGCCGGAGGAGGAGGAGGAGGCUCCAGUUCGGAAGCUUGAUGAACCCCUUCCACCAUAGGCAUGGAGUCUUCAGGGCAUAACCCAACCGAGUCUCCCCUUCACCGGUAGGGUGGUCAAGCUGGAAGUCCUCAAAUCCCUCCGUUAUUUCGUCCACCAUCACCCUAGCAUAUUCUUGUGGAAUCGGACGACAGUGAAGAGUUGCGCCGGGUUCAGAAGGUCGAACUUGGCUGACAGCCGCCUUGACUUUUAAGUUCUGCCAUUGCGCCAUAAGGUGGUAAUUUUCAGACUCCGUGAUAAAAUCUACGGGGUAGCUAGCAGGAGCCGUCAAGACAUGCUCCGGCUGAUGCAGCUUGGUGGAAGCCACGCUGCUUCUCCGCUGACAUGGCGGGGUAGCUUCGGGGGAAGCUUCGGCAGGUCAUUUGCUGCGAUCUGCUUCUCGUUCCUCCAGCCCUUGUACCCUUUUGUGCAGCGCCUGCAGUUGCCUAUGCUCCACUUUCUUCCUCCUCUCCUGGGUUUUGUAACCCCCUGCGUCCGUCCAACGGCACUGCAUUGAUAUAGUGCCGAAGCCUCUUGACUGGUAUUUUCAGUUGCUCGUCCGUCCAACGGCACUUCCCCGAUACAGGGUCCAAGGUUCCACCAGCCCCGAAGAACCAAGUCCGGCAACGGUCUGGCCAGUUCAUUGUCUCUGGUUCGAUCCCUUUAUCAAGCAGAUCAUUCUCAGCCUUGGCCCACUUAGGCCGGGCUUUGAGGUAGCCAGCUGACCCCGUGCGAUGGUGAAACUGCUUCUUCAUAGCAUUUUGCUUGUUUGUCGCCGAUAUCUUCUUACUCUUUUCCGAUGUCGUGUGGCCACAAAUGCGGGCCAGUGAUUUCUGAUCUUCUCAUAUGUGCCGAUGAAUUCUGGUGUCUCUUCUUUGUCGACAAACUUUUUCAGCUCUUUCCUCCACAUCCUGAAUAGGCCUUCCAUCUUCUUAAGUGCAAAAGACAUGAUUAAUUGCUUUGUAACUGGCUUCUCCGGAUCCUCCUCUCGCGGUAGAGUGAAAUUUGCCUUCAGCUCAGUCCAAAGAUCAUCUUUCUGCAUAUCAUUGACAUAAGACACCUCAGGUUCUUCGUUCUUAGGCUUAUACCAUUGGUAGAUGCUGAUCGGGAUCUUGUCCCUAACAAGAACCCUGCACUGAGCAGCAAAUGCGUUCUUUGUCCGGAUGGGUUCAACCGGUUCGCUGUCUCGCGCGAUUGCUGUGAUCUCAAACCUUUCAUCCAAGCUCAACUUUUUCUUCGGGCCUCUUCUCCUUACCGAAGUUGUGCUCGAUCUGGAGGGCUAGAAAAAAGAAGAAAGAAGAGAGUUAAUUAAUAUGUGUACAUUUACCAAAACAAUGAAUGCAUCAAUUAGCUAGUUAGCACAGGCUUAACUAAUAUAUAUACCCGGCCAGACUCGGUUCGGUCAUCGGGGCCGUCAUCACGGUCUCCUUAUUGCACCGUCAUUGGGUAACCGGAGCCAUCAUAAUCAUGUAUUUCCUCCUCCAUUCUUCGAUCACCGUAGCCUGCUUCUUGACCCUGUUCUUCCAGACCAUCAUUGUCGUUAAGAUACGACAAGAUAUCACCUCCGGCUAAGAUUAUGUCCCCCAACACCUCUUCUGCUUCCUCGUCUCGUAUGUGCUCCAUUAUUUCUGCAAAUAUUACAACAUGGCAAUUAUUACACAAACAGGACAGCACAUGGAUAUAUUAGUGGCAAACGUAGACCGAGCUUAUUCUGGGUUUGGGGUGGCCUCGGAAACGCUUCAAGGGUAGGGGAGCGGCAGGAGGGGUAGGAGACCGACAUCAUUUUUUCCUAGGGUUUGGGUGUCCUCGAGAGUUUUGGUCGAGCGAGAGGGGGUGGCCUCAAGAGAUUUUGUCGGGUAGGGGUGCGGCGGGAGGGCGUAGGAGACCGACAUCGUUUUUUCUAGGGUUUGGGUGUCCUCGAGAGUUUUGAUAUUACACGGGAAAAUAAUGUUAUCGGGGAGGGGGUAUAUCGACCCCCCCCCACAUGUUGAAGUUAUCGGGAGAGGGUUAUAUCGACAACGAUGACAUAUGUACAUGGGAAAAUAAUAUUAUCUGGGAGGGGGUAUAUCGACCCCACCCCUCGGUUGAAGUUAUCGGUGUUGGGGAACGUUGCAGAAAAUUAAAAUUUUUCCUACGAUUUCACCAAGAUCCAUCUAUGAGUUCAUCUAAGCAACGAGUCAUGGGAGAGAGUUUCCAUCUACAUACCACUUGUAGAUCGCGUGCGGAAGCUUGCAAGAGGAUGGUGAUGAUGGAGUCGUACUCGACAUGAUUCGAAUCACUGAUGUCCAAGUGCUGAACGGACAGCACCUCCGCGUUCAACACAUGUACGGGACGGGAGACGUCUCCCCCUUCUUGAUCCAGCAAGGGGGAAGGAGAGGUUGAGGAAGCUCGCUCCAACGGCAGCACGACGGCGUGGUGGUGUUGGUGCAGCAGUACUCCGACAGGGCUUCGCCAAGCGCUUACAGAGGAAGAGAGGUGUUGGGGAGGGGAGGGGCUGCGCCUUGGAGAUGGGUACAGCAACCCUCCCCCCACCCCUCUAUUUAUAGGGGAAGGGGCAAGGGGGGCCGGCCCCUCUAGAUGGGAUCUAGAGGGGGGGCGGCGGCCAGGGAGGGGAGGCUUGCCCCCCAAGCAAGGGGGGCGCCCCCCUCAGGGUUUCCCCCCCCCCAACCCUAGGCGCAUGGGCCCAAGGUGGGGGGCGUGCCCAGCCCUCCAGGGGCUGGCUCCCUCCCCUUUGCGGCCCAUGUGGCCCUCCGGGAGGGGUGGCCCCUCCCGGUGGACCCCCGGAACCCCUCCGGUGGUCCCGGUACAUUACCGAUAACCCCCGGAAACUUUCCGGUGUCCGUAUGACAACUUCCCAUAUAUAAAACUUCACCUCCGGACCAUUCCGGAACUCCUCGUGACGUCCGGGAUCUCACCCGGGACUCCGAACAACAUUUGGUAGUCACAUACUAGUCUUUCUAAUAACCCUAGCGUCACCGAACUUUAAGUAUGAAGACCCUACGGGUUCGGGAGAUAUGCAGACAUGACCGAGACCACUCUCCGGUCAAUAACCAACAGCGGGAUCUGGAUACCCAUGUUGGCUCCCACAUGCUCCUCGAUGAUUUCAUCGGUUGAACCACGAUGUCGAGGAUUCGAUCAAAACCCUGUAUACAAUUCCCUUUGUCAAUCGGUAGGUUACUUGCCCGAGACUCGAUCGUCGGUAUCCCAAUACCUUGUUCAGUCUCGUUACCGGCAAGUCACUUUACUCGUACAGUAAUGCAUGAUCCCGUGGCCAACACCUUGGUCACCUUGAGCUCAUUAUGAUGAUGCAUUACCGAGCGGGCCCAGAGAUACCUCUCCGUCAUACGGAGUGACAAAUCCCAGUCUCGAUCCGUGUCAACCCAACAGAUACUUUCGGAGAUACCUGUAAUGCACCUUUAUAGUCACCCAGUUACGUUGUGACGUUUGAUACACCCAAGGCACUCCUACGGUAUCCGGUAGUUACACGAUCUCAUGGUCGAAGGAAGAGAUACUUGACAUUGGUAAAGCUCUAGCAAACGAACUACACGAUCUUUGUGCUAUGCUUAGGAUUGGGUCUUGUCCGUCACAUCAUUCUCCUAAUGAUGUGAUCCCGUUAUCAAUGACAUCCAAUGUCCAUAGUCAGGAAACCAUGACUAUCUGUUGAUCACAACGAGCUAGUCAACUAGAGGCUCACUAGGGACAUAUUGUUGUCUAUGUAUUCACACGUGUAUUACGAUUUCCGGAUAAUACAGUUAUAGCAUGAAUAAAAGACAAUUAUCAUGAACAAUGAAAUAUAAUAAUACUUUCAUUAUUGCCUCUAGGGCAUAUUUCCAACAGUCUCCCACUUGCACUAGAGUCCCCAAUCUAGUUACAUUGUGAUGAAUCGAACACCCAUAGAGUUCUGGUGUUGAUCAUGUUUUGCCCGCGAGAGAGGUUUAGUCAACGGAUCUGCGACAUUCAGAUCCGUGUGCACUUUGCAAAUCUGUAUGUCUCCAUCUUGAACAUUUUCACGGAUGGAGUUGAAACGACACUUGAUGUGCCUGGUCUUUUUGUGAAACCUGGGCUCCUUGGCAAGGGCAAUAGCUCCAGUGUUGUCACAGAAGAGUUUGAUCGGCCCCGACGCAUUGGGUAUGACUCCUAGGUCGGUGAUGAACUCCUUCACCCAAAUCGCUUCAUGCACUGCCUCCGAGGCUGCCAUGUACUCCGCUUCACAUGUAGAUCCCGCCACGACGCUCUGCUUGCAGCUGCACCAGCUUACUGCUCCACCAUUCAACAUAUACACGUAUCCGGUUUGACACUUAGAGUCAUCCAGAUCCGAAUCGAAGCUAGCGUCGACGUAACCCUUUACGACGAGCUCUUCGUCUCCUCCAUAAACGAGAAACAUGUCCUUUGUCCUUUUCAGGUACUUCAGGAUAUUCUUGACCGCUGUCCAGUGUUCCUUGCCGGGAUUACUUUGGUAUCUUGCUACCAAACUUACAUCAAGGUUUACAUCGGGUCUGGUACACAGCAUGGCAUACAUAAUAGAUCCUAUGGCUAAAGCAUAGGGGAUGAUACUCAUCUCUUCUUUAUCCUUUGCCGUGGUCGGUGAUUGAGCUGAGCUCAAUCUCACACCUUGUAACAUAGGCAAGAACCCUUUCUUGGACUGAUCCAUUUUGAACCUCUUCAAAAUCUUAUCAAGGUAUGUGCUUUGUGAAAGACCUAUGAGUCGUCUCAAUCUAUCUCUAUAGAUCUUGAUGCCUAAUAUAUAAGCAUCUUCUCCAAGGUCCUUCAUUGAAAAACACUUAUUCAAGUAGGCCUUAAUGUUGUCCAGAAGUUUUUUAUCAUUUCCCAUCAAGAGUAUGUCAUCUACAUAUAAUAGGAGAAAUGCUACAGAGCUCCCACUCACUUUCUUGUAAACGCAGGCUUCUCCAUAAGUCUGCAUAAACCCAAACGCUUUGAUCAUCUCAUCAAAGCGAAUGUUCCAACUCUGAGAUGCUUGCACUAGUCCAUAAAUGGAUCGCUGGAGCUUGCAUACAUUGUUAGCAUUCUUAGGAUCGACAAAACCUUCCAGCUGCAUCAUAUACAGCUCUUCCUUAAGAUGUCCAUUAAGGAAUGCCGUUUUGACGUCCAUCUGCCAUAUCUCAUAGUCAUAGUAUGCGGCAAUUGCUAACAUGAUUCGGACGGACUUCAGCUUCGCUACGGGAGAGAAUGUCUCGUCGUAGUCAAUCCCUUGAACUUGUCGAUAACCCUUAGCGACAAGUCGAGCCUUAUAAAUGGUAACAUUACCAGCCGCGUCCGUCUUCUUCUUAAAAAUCCAUUUGUUUUCUAUCGCUCGCCGAUCAUCGGGCAAGUCUGUCAAAGUCCAUACUUUGUUUUCAUACAUGGAUUCUAUCUCGGAUUUCAUGGCUUCAAGCCAUUUGUUGGAAUCUGGGCCCGCCAUCGCUUCUUCAUAGUUCGAAGGUUCACCGUUGUCUAACAACAUGAUUUCCAGGAUAGGGUUGCCGUACUACUCUUGUGCAGAACGUGUCCUUGUGGACCUAUGAAGUUCAGUAGCAACUUGAUCCGAAGUACCUUGAUCAUCAUCAUUGGUUUCCUCUUUAGUUGGUGUGGUCAUAACAGGAACAUAUUCCUGAGCUGCACCACUUUCCCGUUCGAGAGGUAGUACUUCAUCGAGUUCUACUUUCCUCCCACUUACUUCUUUCGAGAGAAACUCUUUUUCCAGAAAGCAUCCGUUCUUGGCAACAAAGAUCUUGCCUUCGGAUCUUAAGUAGAAGGUAUACCCGACAGUUUCCUUAGGGUAUCCUAUGAAUACGCAUUUUUCUGACUUGGGUUCGAGCUUUUCAGGUUGAAGUUUCUUGACAUAAGCAUCGCAUCCCCAAACUUUUAGAAACGACAGCUUAGGUUUCUUCCCAAACCAUAAUUCAUACGGUGUCAUCUCAACGGAUUUAGAAGGUGCCCUAUUUAAAGUGAAUGUAGCUGUCUCUAGAGCAUAUCCCCAAAAUGAUAGCGGUAAAUAAGUAAGAGACAUCAUAGACCGCACCAUAUCCAAUAGAGUGCGAUUACGACGUUCGGACACACCGUUUCGCUGAGGUGUUCUAGGCGGCGUGAGUUGUGAAACGAUUCCACAUUUCCUUAAGUGUGUACCAAAUUCGUGACUUAAGUAUUCUCCUCCACGAUCUGAUCGUAGGAACUUUAUCUUUCGGUCACGUUGAUUCUCCACCUCAUUCUGAAAUUCCUUGAACUUUUCAAAGGUCUCAGACUUGUGUUUCAUUAAGUAGACAUACCCAUAUCUACUUAAGUCAUCAGUGAGAGUGAGAAUAUAACGAUAUCCACCGCGAGCCUCAACGCUCAUUGGACCGCACACAUCGGUAUGUAUGAUUUCCAACAAGUUGGUUGCUCGCUCCAUUGUUCCGGAGAACGGAGUCUUGGUCAUUUUUCCCAUGAGGCAUGGUUCGCAUGUGUCAAACGAUUCAUAAUCAAGAGACUCUAAAAGUCCAUCAGCAUGGAGCUUCUUCAUGCGCUUGACACCAAUGUGACCAAGGCGGCAGUGCCACAAGUAUGUGGGACUAUCGUUUUCAACUUUACAUCUUUUGGCAUCCACACUAUGAACAUGUGUAAUAUUACGCUCGAGAUUCAUUAAGAAUAAACCAUUGACCAUCGGAGCAUGACCAUAAAACAUAUCUCUCAUAUAAAUCGAACAACCAUUAUUCUCAGACUUAAAUGAGUAGCCAUCUCGUAUUAAACGAGAUCCAGAUACAAUGUUCAUGCUCAAACUUGGCACUAAAUAACAAUUAUUAAGGUUCAAAACUAAUCCCGUGGGUAAAUGUAGAGGCAGCGUGCCGACGGCGAUCACAUCGACUCUGGAACCAUUCCCGACGCGCAUCGUCACCUCGUCCAUUGCCAGUCUCCCUUUAUUCCGCAGCUCCUACUGUGAGUUACAAAUAUGAGCAACGGCACCGGUAUCAAAUACCCAGGAGUUACUACGAGUACUGGUAAGGUACACAUCAGUUACAUGUAUAUCAAAUAUACCUUUGGUGUUGCUGGCCUUCUUAUCCGCUAAGUAUUUGGGGCAGUUCCGCUUCCAGUGACCCUUCCCCUUGCAAUAAAAGCACUCAGUCUCAGGCUUGGGUCCAUUCUUUGACUUCUUCCCGGCAACAGGCUUACCGGGCGCGACAACAUCUUUGCCGUCCUUCUUGAAGUUCUUCUUACCCUUGCCCUUAUUGAACUUAGUGGUAUUAUUGACCAUCAACACUUGAUGUUCUUUCUUGAUUUUAGCCUCUGCUGACUUCAGCAUCGAGAACACUUCAGGAAUGGUCUUCACCAUCCCCUGCAUGUUGUAGUUCAUCACGAAGCUCUUGUAGCUUGGUGGGAGCGACUGGAGGAUUCUGUCAAUGACCGACUCAUCUGGGAGGUUAAUGUUAAGCUGGGUCAUACGAUUGUGCAACCCAGACAUCUUCAGGAUGUGCUCAUUGACAGAACUGUUUUCCUCCAUCUUACAACUGUAGAACUUGUCGGAGACAUCAUAUCUCUCGACCCGGGCAUGAGGUUGGAAAACAAGUUUCAGCUCUUCGAACAUCUCAUAUGCUCCGUGAUGCUCAAAACGCUUUUGGAGCCCCGGUUCUAAGCUGUAAAGCAUGCCGCACUGAACGAGGGAGUAAUCAUCAGCACGAGUCUGCCAAAUGUUCAAAUCGUCUUGCAGUGCUGGGAGAGCAGGUGGGUCACCUAACGGUGCUUCUAGGACAUAUUGUUUCUUGGCAGCUAUGAGGAUGAUCCUCAGGUUCCGGACCCAGUCCGUAUAGUUGCUGCCAUCAUCUUUCAGCUUGGUUUUCUCUAGGAAUGCGUUGAAGUUCAUGUUGACAUGAGCGUUGGCCAUUUGAUCUACAGGACAUAUUUGCAAAGGUUUUAGACUAAGUUCAUGAUAAUAAAGUUCUAAUCAAAUUAUGAACUCCCACUUAGAUUAGACAUCCCUCUAGUCAUCUAAGUGUUACACGAUCCGAGUCGACUAGCCCGUGUCCGAUCAUCAUGUGAGACGGACUAGUCAUCAUCGGUGAACAUCUUCAUGUUGAUCGUAUCUUCCAUACGACUCGUGUUCCACCUUUCGGUCUCCGUGUUCCGAGGCCAUGUCUGUACAUGCUAGGCUCGUCAAGUUAAUCCUAAGUGUUUUCGCUGUGUAAAACAGUCUUACACCCGUUGUAUGUGAACGUAAGAAUCCAUCACACCCGAUCAUCACUUGGUGCUUAGAAGCGACGAACUGUAGCAAUGGUGCACAGUUAGGGGAGAACACUUCUUGAAAUUUUUGUAAGGGAUCAUCUUAUUUACUACCGUCGUCCUAAGUAAACAAGAUGCAUAGACAUAAUAAACAUCACAUGCAAUUAUAUAUAGUUGUGACAUGAUAUGGCCAAUAUCAUACAGCUCCAUUGAUCUCCAUCUUCGGGGCUCCAUGAUCAUCUUGUCAUCGGCUUGACACCAUGAUCUCCAUCAUCAUGAUGUCCAUCAUCGUGUCUUCAUGAAGUUGUCACGCCAACGAACGCGUUUAGCAAUAAAGUAAAGUAGUUUACAUGGCGUUCUUCAAUGACACGCAGGUCAUACAAAAAUAAAGACAACUCCUAUGGCUCCUGCCGGUUGUCAUACUCAUCGACAUGCAAGUCGUGAAUCCUAUUACAAGAACAUGAUCUCAUACAUCACAAUUCAUCAUUCAUCACAACUUCUGGCCAUAUCACAUCACAUGAUCAAUCGCUGCAAAAACAAGUUAGACGUCUUCUAAUUGUUGUUGCAUCUUUUACGUGGCUGCAAUUGGGUUCUAGCAAGAACGUUUUCUUACCUACGAAUAACCACAACGUGAUUUUGUAAACUUCUAUUUACCCUUCAUAAGGGCCCUGUUCAUCGAAUCCGCUCCAACUAAAGUGGGAGAGACAGACACCCGCCAGCCACCUUAUGCAACUAGUGCAUGUCAAUCGGUGGAACCGGUCUCACGUAAGCGUACGUGUAAGGUUGGUCCGGGCCGCUUCAUCCCACAAUACCGUUGAAGCAAGAAAAGACUAGUAGAGGCAAGUAAGUUGAAAAGAUCCACGCCCACAACAAAAUUGUGUUCUACUCGUGCAUUAGAGAACUACGCAUAGACCUAGCUCAUGAUGCCACUGUUGGGGAACGUUGCAGAAAAUUAAAAUUUUUCCUACGGUUUCACCAAGAUCCAUCUAUGAGUUCAUCUAAGCAACGAGUCAUGGGAGAGAGUUUGCAUCUACAUACCACUUUUAGAUCGCGUGUGGAAGCUUGCAAGAGGAUGGUGAUGAUGGAGUCGUACUCGACGUGAUUCGAAUCACCGAUGUCCAAGUGCUGAACGGACAGCACCUCCGAGUUCAACACACGUACGGGACGGGAGACGUCUCCUCCUUCUUGAUCCAGCAAGGGGGAAGGAGAGGUUGAGGAAGCUCGCUCCAACGGCAGCACGACGGCGUGGUGGUGUUGGUGCAGCAGUACUCCGACAGGGCAUCGCCAAGCGCUUACGGAGGAGGAGAGGUGUUGGGGAGGGGAGGGGCUGCGCCUUGGAGAUGGGUACAGCAGCCCUCCCCCCAACCCUCUAUUUAUAGCGGAAGGGGCAAGGGGGGCCGGCCCCUCUAGAUGGGAUCUAGAGGGGGGGCGGCGGCCAGGGAGGGGAGGCUUGCCCCCCAAGCAAGGGGGGCGCCCCCCUCAGGGUUUCCCCCCCAACCCUAGGCGCAUGGGCCCAAGGUGGGGGGCGCGCCCAGCCCUCCAGGGGCUGGCUCCCUCCCCUUUGCGGCACAUGUGGCCCUCCGGGAGGGGUGGCCCCUCCCGGUGGACCCCCGGAACCCCUCCGGUGGUCCCGGUACAUUACCGAUAACCCCCGGAAACUUUCCGGUGUCCGUAUGACAACUUCCCAUAUAUAAAACUUCACCUCCGGACCAUUCCGGAACUCCUCGUGACGUCCGGGAUCUCAUCCGGGACUCCGAACAACAUUCGGUAGUCACAUACUAGUCUUCCUAAUAACCCUAGCGUCACAGAACCUUAAGUGUGAAGACCCUACGGGUUCGGGAGAUAUGCAGACAUUACCGAGACCACUCUCCGGUCAAUAACCAACAGUGGGAUCUGGAUACCCAUGUUGGCUCCCACAUGCUCCUCGAUGAUUUCAUCGGUUGAACCACGAUGUCGAGGAUUCGAUCAAAACCCUGUAUACAAUUCCCUUUGUCAAUCGGUACGUUACUUUCCCGAGACUCGAUCGUCGGUAUCCCAAUACCUUGUUCAGUCUCGUUACCGGCAAGUCACUUUACUCGUACCGUAAUGCAUGAUCCCGUGGCCAACACCUUGGUCACCUUGAGCUCAUUAUGAUGAUGCAUUACCGAGUGGGCCCAGAGAUAGCUCUCCGUCAUACGGAGUGACAAAUCCCAGUCUCGAUUCGUGUCAACCCAACAGAUACUUUCGGAGAUACCUGUAAUGCACCUUUAUAGUCACCCAGUUACGUUGUGACGUUUGAUACACCCAAGGAACUCCUACGGUAUCCGGGAGUUACACGAUCUCAUGGUCGAAGGAAGAGAUACUUGACAUUGGUAAAGCUCUAGCAAACAAACUACACGAUCUUUGUGCUAUGCUUAGGAUUGGGUCUUGUCCAUCACAUCAUUCUCCUAAUGAUGUGAUCCCGUUAUCAAUGACAUCCAAUGUCCAUAGUCAGGAAACCAUGACUAUCUGUUGAUCACAACGAGCUAGUCAACUAGAGGCUCACUAGGGACAUAUUGUGGUCUAGGUAUUCACACGUGUAUUACGAUUUCCGGAUAAUACAGUUAUAGCAUGAAUAAAAGACAAUUAUCAUGAACAAUGAAAUAUAAUAAUACUUUCAUUAUUGCCUCUAAGGCAUAUUUCCAACAAUCGGGAGGGGUAUAUCGACGACGACAGACCCGAUAAAACAUAAGAAAACAAAGAAGAAAUAAAAAGAGGAGAAGAAGAAAGGAAUAGAGGAGAAGAUCGAAGAAAAAAAGAAGAAAAAAAGAGGAGAAUAAGAAAGGAAUAGAGGAGAAGAAGAAAAAUAUAAUAUAUUCUAUUUUUUCUUCUUCUCCUCUAUUCCUUUCUUCUUCUCCUCUUCUUUUUUUUCUUUUUUCUUCUUCUUAUUUAUUUCUCCUCUUCUUCCUCUUCUUAUUUCCUUCUUCCUCUCAUUCUUUUUCUUCCUCUUCUUAUUUUCCUUUUUCCUCUCAUUCUUUUUCUUCUUCUUCCUUUCCUAGCUAAAUAUAUAAAACUUUUCUAAAAAUGUAACUUUUGCAUAUAUACGUACCCCCCCUUGACCCUCUUUUCCUUCUUCUUCCUUCUUCCUUCAUCCUCUUUUCUUCUCCAACACAAAACACAUCUCAUCUUAUCUCAUUUCAUCCAAAAAUAAUUCUUUGCAUAUGAACAUACAUACAUUUACUUUUUUCUUAAAUGUUACAUAUGAACAUUUUCUUAAAUGAGCAUAUGAACAUUUUCUUAAAUAUUAAUGAGCAUAUGAACAUACAUAUCACCAAAAAAUAGACCUUUUUCUUGGUAACAAAAAAAAUGCAAAAAUGGGCAGUAUACAACAUAUCCAGAGCAUUAUACAGUGAACAUACAUACAUACAUACAUACAUACAUACAUUCAUACAUACAGUGAGCAUAUACAGAGCAUUAUACGGCGACGGCGACGAUGGUUGGCAGUGGCGCGCGCUUACGGAUGGCAUGCGGGCACGGCAAUGAGAAGGAAAGGGGAGGAGGCAGGGGCUCACAGUGCGGGGAGGGGUGUCGAGGUCGCCGGCCGGAAUCGGUGCGGCGGCGGACGAACGGCCUCGGGGAUGAACGGGUCGCGGGAGCCGGCGUGGUGCUUCCCCGCAGUGACGGCGACGACGGGCGCGGGUGACGGCGACGGCGAUGACGAGUGAGGGAGUCCUGUACUAGGGGGUGUUUGGAUAGCCGGACUAUCAUCAUCGUCUGGACUCCAAGACUAUGAAGAUACAAGAUUGAAGACUUCAUCCCGUGUCAGGAUGGUACUUUCCUUGGCGUGGAAGGCAAGCUUGGCGAUAUGGAUAUGUAGAUCUCCUACCAUUGUAACCGACUCUGUGUAACCCUAGCCCUCUCCAGUGUCUAUAUAAACCGGAGGGUUUUAGUCCGUAGGACGAACAACCAUUACAACAAUCAUACCAUAGGCUAGCUUCUAGGGUUUAGCCUCCUUGAUCUCGUGGUAGAUCCACUCUUGUACUACUCAUAUCAUCAAUAUCAAUCAAGCAGGAGUAGGGUUUUACCUCCAUCGAGAGGGCCCGAACCUGGGUAAAAACAUCGUGUCCCUUGUCUCCUGUUACCAUCCGCCUAGAUGCACAGUUCGGGACCCCCUACCCGAGAUCCACCGGUUUUGACACCGACAUUGGUGCUUUCAUUGAGAGUUCCUCUGUAUCGUCACCGAUAGGCUUGAUGUCUCCUUCAAUCAACAACAACGCAGUCCAGGGUGAGACUUUUCUCCCCAGACAGAUCUUUGUGUUCGGCGGCUUUGCACUGCGGGCCAAUUCACUUGGCCAUCUGGAGCAGAUCUAAAGCUACGCCCCUGGCCAUCAGGUCAGAUUUGGAAGCCUAAACUUCACGGCUGACAUCCGCGGAGACUUGAUCUUCGAUGGAUUCGAGCCACAGCCGAGCGCGCCGCACUGUCACGAUGGGCAUGAUUUAUCUCUGCCGCCGGACAGUACCCUGGAGGCCGCACAUGAGUCCGCUCUGACCCAUAGUUGGGAGCUGACCGCGCAGAUCGAGGACAGGUGGCUAGACACCGCCUCGGGGGCUGCAACCUUUACGGCGAUGAAGCCGAAUACUGACCUUGUUCCUUGUAAAUCCCGUGACUCCGAGGUGCCGGACUCCGAACCUCCAGCGCCCUUUGGCGACAUCUUUCAGCACUCACCCUUUGGCGACAUCCUGAAUUCGCUAAAGCAUCUCUUGUUAUCAAGAGAGCCCUGGACGGACUGCGGUCAGGAUGGUUGGGAUGCGGAUGACGAAGAAAUUCAAAACCCACCCACCACCCACUUUGUAGCCACUGUCGACGAUCUAACCGACAUGCUAGACUACGACUCCGAAGACAUCGAGGGUAUGGACGACUAUGCCAGAGACGACCAAAAACCAGUGCCUACCAGGCACUGGAAAACCACCUCAACUCAUGAUAUAUAUAUAUAUAUGGUGGACACCCCAAAAGAGAGCGACAACAAGGAACAACGGGACGCGGCGAAGGAUAACUCCCCCGUAAAACAACCAAAACAGCGACGCAAGCGCCGCCCCAAGUCCUGCCUCGAUAACAACAGCACCCAUAAUGACCCAGCCGUAGAGCAGGGCAAACCAGUGGACGACGAACAUGCAACCAAGCAACCAUCCGAACAGGAUGAAUCGGACAAUCAACCCAUCCUCGGCAAAAACAACAGUCCAGAUGAUCUCACGCCGGACACAUCGGAACAUAAGAACCUUCAAAAAAGGCUUUUCGCCACUGCAAGAAGUUUGAAGAAGCAAAAACGGAAGCUCAAAACAGCGGAAGACAUACUCAGAAUGAGGUGGAGCAAAGUCCUCAAGACCGCGGACAAAUAUGGCAAUAGCCACCAAGCAAAGAGCUACCUGAAGCGCAAGAUGCUGCCCGAAUUCGAUGAGGAGGCCGUAGAGCCCCCACAAUCAAAAAGCAAAGAGGCCGCCUAGCCGGAUAGACGACCAGAUGACAAGCCAAGAGCGGCAAGCGGCGCCACACACAAGCCGACACAUGACAGGCAUAAAGAUCCUCGCAAAAUAGACNNNNNNNNNNUUGUUUUGUUUUCUGCAUUAUUUAUUUUCUUUUGUUUUUUGCUUUAUUUUUUAAUUCUUUUUGCUUUUAGGUCAGAAAAAUUAUAAACUUUCUGUUAGUGCCAUUAGUUUUAGAAAAAUUAUAAACUUUCUGUUAGUGCCAUUAGUUUUCAAAUUUGAAUAGUUAAAAUUUGAAUUCUUUGAAAUUUGUGUGAAUCACAAGUUUGUAAUUAACUUUACUAAAAAAAUGAACGUAGAUGCAUCUAUAGUGAAAAUUCAACCUAAAUUCAUAAUAAAUUUCUAUGAAUUUCAGAGAAAUUCACUAUGAAUUUAGGUCAAAUUCCCUGUAUAGGGGCAUCUAUUUUCACUUUGAGAGGAGCUCAACAAGGUAGAGAGGGACGGGCUUAUAAACUGGUGUGAGCGCCCUUCGGUUGGCGAGGUGGGACUAAACUCUGAGCGCAACGAGGACCAACCCUUUAGUCCCGGUUUGUGGCACAAAUCGGGACUAAUGGUCAUGGGCCAGGGGCGAGGCACAUUGGUCCCGGUUCGUGCGUGGAACCGGGACCAAUGGCCCACAUUGCUGCCCUCUUGAGAGUGUUCUUGGUGAGAACAUAGUUGACAAUGAGCGAACCGGGAUUAAUGGUAUUACGAGGGCCGAACCAUAAGACAUUAAAGCAUUUCAAAUGAACUCUGGAAAAGUUGAAAGUUGGCAUGGUACCAUAAUUUCACCCACAUGGCAUGUUCAUGUACAAAACGGACAAUGGUAUCAUACUCGUCUAUUAAAAGGUUGGCAUUGUAUCAUCAUAAUAGUUGCGGGAGAAAGUCUUCACUUUUUCUUCGAUGGAGCUACAAUGAAGCAACGCCGGGGAGUUCGUCGGUGCUGCGAUGAAGUUUUGCCGCGCCGCCCCAUGAUGCCAUGGAGCUUCGCCGGGGCGGCUGCGCUGCCAUGGAGUGCUGCGUUGUAGCUGGACGAAGAGAGCACCCAUGCUGCAGGCAACUGGCUGCGAACUAGUCGUUGGCGGAGCAUUGGUCGCAGCACCAGCGAAAUGCUGACAUUGCAGCCAACGCCGGGAGAGUGUUGAUAUUGCAGUCAACACCGCCACCCGUAGAUGCUGAUGCGGGAAGGGAAGGGAUCAGGGGUGCUUUUGUUUUGUGGCAGCAAUUUGAAGGAAAUAUGCCCUAGAGGCAAUAAUAAAGUUAUUAUUUAUUUCCUCAUAUCAUGAUAAAUGUUUAUUAUUCAUGCUAGACUUGUAUUAACCGGAAACAUGAUACAUGUGUGAAUACAUAGACAAACAUAUAGUCACUAGUAUGCCUCUACUUGACUAGCACAUUAAUCAAAGAUGGUUAUGUUUCCUAACCAUAGACAUGUGUUGUCAUUUGAUUAAUGGGAUCACAUCAUUAGGAGAAUGAUGUGAUUGACAUGACCUAUUCCGUUAGCCUAGCACUUGAUCGUUUAGUAUGUUGCUAUUACUUUCUUCAUGACUUAGACAUAUUCUAGUAACUAUGAGAUUAUGCAACUCCCGUUUGCCGGAGGAACACUUUGGGUGCUACCAAACGUCACAACGUAACUGGGUGAUUAUAAAGGAGUACUAGGGUGUCUCCAAAGGUACAUGUUGGGUUGGCGUAUUUCGAGAUUAGGUUUGUCACUCCGAUUCUCGAGAGGUAUCUCUGGGCCCUCUCGGUAAUGCACAUCACUAUAAGCCUGGCAAGCAAUGUAGUUAAUGAGUUAGUUACGGAAUAAUGCAUUACGUAACGAGUAAAGAGACUUGCCGGUAACGAGAUUGAACUAGGUAUUGGAUACAGACGAUCAAAUCUCGGGCAAGUAACAUACCGAUAACAAAGGGAACAACGUAUGUUGUUAUGCGGUUUGACUGAUAAAGAUCUUCGUAGAAUAUGUAGGAUCCAAUAUGGGCAUCCAGGUUCCUCUAUUGGUUAUUUACUGAGAAUAUUUCUAGGUCAUGUCUACAUAGUUCUCGAACCCGUAGGGCCCGCACGCUUAACGUUACGAUGACAGUUUUAUUAUGAGUUUACAAGUUUUGAUGUACCGAAGUUUGUUCGGAGUCCCGAAUGUGAUCACAGACAUGACGAGGAGUCUCGAAAUGGCCGAGACAUAAAGAUUGAUAUAUUGGAAGCCUAUGUUUGGACAUCGGAAGUGUUCCGGGUGAAAUCGGCAUUUUACCGGAGUACCGGGAGGUUACCAGAACCCCCCGGUAACCUAAUGGGCCUUAUUGGGCCUAGUGGAGGAAGAGGAGAGGAGGCCUAGGGGCAGCCGCGCGCCCCUCCCCCCCCCCAAGUCCGAAUAGGACAAGGAGGGGGGGCGGCGGCCCCCCUUUCCUUUCCCCCCUCUCCUCGUUCCCCCCAAGUCCUAGUCCAACUAGGGAAAGGGGGAGUCCUACUCCUGGUGGGAGUUGGACUCCUCCGGCACGCCUCCUCCUAGGGACGGCCGCACCCUCCCUUGCUCCUUUAUAUACGGGGGCAGGGGGGCACCCUAGAACACACAAGUUGAUGUUGAAGCCCUGCGCUGGCAGAACAUCAUAAUCAUCACCACGCCGUCGUGCUGACGGAACUCAUCCCCGACACUUUGCUGGAUCGGAGUCCGGGGAUCGUCAUCGAGCUGAACGUGUGCUAAACUCAGAGGUGCCGUACGUUCGGUACUUGGAUCGGCCGGAUCGUGAAGACGUACGACUACAUUAACCGUGUUGUCAUAACGCUUCCGCUUACGGUCUACGAGGGUACGUGGACAAUACUCUCCCCUCUCGUUGCUAUGCCAUCACCAUGAUCUUGCGUGUGUGCGUAGGAAUUUUUUUUGAAAUUACUACGUUCCCCAACAGUGGCAUCCGAGCCUAGUUUUAUGCGUAGAUUUCAUAUGCAUGAGUAGAACACAAGUGAGUUGUGGGCGAUACAAGUCAUACUGCUUACCAGCAUGUCAUACUUUGGCUCAUCGGUAUUGUGAGAUGAAGCGGCCCGGACCGACAUUACGCGUACGCUUACGCGAGACUGGUUUCACCGUUACGAGCACUCAUGCUUAAAGGUGACUGGCGGGUGUAUGUCUCUCUCACUUUAGCUCAAUCGAGUGUGGCUACGCCCGGUCCUUGCGAAGGUUAAAACAGCACUAACUUGACAAACUAUCGUUGUGGUUUUGAUGCGUAGGUAAGAACGGUUCUUGCUCAGCCCGUAAAAUUUGUUUUUCCAGGGCAUGUUUUGAUGUGAUAUGGUCAAGACGUGAUGCUAUAUUUUAUUGUAUGAGAUGAUCAUGUUUUGUAACCGAAGUUAUCGGCAACUGGCAGGAGCCAUAUGGUUGUCGCUUUAUUGUAUGAAAUGCAAAUGCCCUGUAAUUGCUUUACUUUAUCACUAAGCGGUAGCGAUACUCGUAGAAGCAAUAGAUGGCGUAAUGACAACGAUGCUACGAUGGAGAUCAAGGUGUCACGCCGGUGACGAUGGUGAUCACGACGGUGCUUCGGAGAUGGAGAUCACAAACACAAGAUGAUGAUGGCCAUAUCAUAUCACUUAUAUUGAUUGCAUGUGAUGUUUAUCCUUUGUGCAUCUUAUCUUGCUUUGAUUGACGGUAGCAUUUUAAGAUGAUCUCUCACUAAAAUUAUCAAGAAGUGUUCUCCCUGAGUAUGCACCAUUGCAAAAGUUCUUCGUGCUGAGACACCACGUGAUGAUCGGGUGUGAUAUGCUACGUUCAAAUACAACGGGUGCAAAACAGUUGCACUCGCGGAAUACUGUGGUUAAACUUGACGAGCCUAGCAUAUAACAGAUAUGGACUCGGAACACGGAGACCGAAAGGUCGAGUGUGAAUCAUAUAGUAGAUAUGAUCAACAUAUUGAUGUUCACCAUUGAAACUACUCCAUCUCACGUGACGAUCGGACAUGGUGUAGUUGAUAUGGAUUAGGUAAUCACUUAGAGGAUUAGAGGGAUGUCUAUCUAAGUGGGAGUUCUUAAGUAAUAUGAUUAAUUGAACUUAAAUUUAUCAUGAACUUAGUACCCGAUAGUAUUUUGCUUGUCUAUGUUUGUUGUAGAUAAAUGGCUCGUGCUGUUGUUCCGUUGAAUUUUAAUGCGUUCCUUGAGAAAGCAAAUUUGAAAGGUGAUGGUAGCAAUUACACGGACUGGGUCCGUAACCUGAGGAUUAUCCUCAUUGCUGCACAGAAGAAUUACGUCCUGGAAGCACCGCUGGGUGCCAGGCCUGCUGCUGAUGCAACUGACGACGUUAAGAACGUCUAGCAGAGGAAAGCUGAUGAAUACUCGAUAGUUCAGUGUGCCAUGCUUUACGGCUUAGAACCGGGGCUUCAACGACGUUUUGAACGUCAUGGAGCAUAUGAGAUAUUCCAGGAGUUGAAGUUAAUAUUUCAAGAAAAUGCCCAGAUUGAGAGAUAUAAAGUCUCCAAUAAGUUCUAUAGCUGCAAGAUGGAGGAGAAUAGUUCUGUCAGUGAACACAUACUCAAAAUGUCUGGGUAUAAUAAUCACUUGAUUCAACUAGGAGUUAAUCUUCCUGAUGAUAGUGUCAUUGACAGAAUUCUUCAAUCACUACCACCAAGCUACAAGAGCUUCGUGAUGAACUAUAAUAUGCAAGGGAUGGACAAGACUAUUCCCGAGCUCCUCGCAAUGCUAAAAGCCACGGAUGUAGAAAUCUAGAAGGAGCAUCAAGUGUUGAUGGUCAACAAGACCACCAGUUUCAAGAAAAAGGGUAAAGGGAAGAAGAAGGGGAACUUCAAGAAGAACAGCAAACAAGUUGCUGCUCAAGAGAAGAAACCCAAGUCUAGACCUAAGCCUGAAACUGAGUGCUUCUACUGCAAGCAGACUGGACACUGGAAGCGGAACUGCCCCAAGUAUUUGGCGAAUAAGAAGGAUGGCAAAGUGAACAAAGGUAUAUGUGAUAUACAUGUUAUUGAUGUGUACCUUACUAACGCUCGCAGUGGCACCUGGGUAUUUGAUACUGGUUCUGUUGCUAAUAUUUGCAACUCGAAACAGGGACUACGGAUUAAGCGAAGAUUGGCUAAGGACGAGGUGACGAUGCGCGUGGGAAAUGGGUCCAAAGUCGAUGUGAUCGCGGUCGGCACGCUACCUCUACAUCUACCAUCAGGAUUAGUUUUAGACCUAAAUAAUUGUUAUUUGGUGCCAGCAUUGAGCAUGAACAUUAUAUCUGGAUCUUGUUUGAUGCGAGACGGUUAUUCAUUUAAGUCAGAGAAUAAUGGUUGUUCUAUUUAUAUGAGUAAUAUCUUUUAUGGUCAUGCACCCUUGAAGAUUGGUCUAUUUUUAUUGAAUCUCGAUAGUAGUGAUACACAUAUUCAUAAUGUUGAAGCCAAAAGAUGCAGAGUUGAUAAUGAUAGUGCAACUUAUUUGUGGCACUGCCUUUUAGGUCAUAUCGGUAUAAAGCGCAUGAAGAAACUCCAUACUGAUGGGCUUUUGGAAUCACUUGAUUAUGAAUCACUUGGUACUUGCGAACCAUGCCUCAUGGGCAAGAUGACUAGAAUGCCGUUCUCCGGAACUAUGGAGCGAGAAACUGAUUUAUUGGAAAUCAUACAUACUGAUGUUUGUGGUCCAAUGAAUGUUGAGGCUCGCGGCGUGUAUCGUUAUUUUCUCAUCUUCACAGAUGAUUUAAGCAGAUAUGGGUAUAUCUACUUGACGAAACACAAGUCUGAAACAUUAGAAAAGUUCAAAGAAUUUCAGAGUGAAGUGGAAAAUCAUCGUAACAAGAAUUGUUUUUCUAUGAACUGAUUGUGGAGGAGAAUAUUUGAGUUACGAGUUUGGUUUACAUUUGAAGCAAUGCGAAAUAGUUUCACAACUCACGCCACCCGGAACACCACAACGAAAUGGUGUGUCCGAACAUCAUAAUCAUACUUUACUAGAUAUGGCGCGAUCUAUGAUGUCUCUUACUGAUUUACCGCUAUCAUUUUGGGCUUAUGCUUUAGAGACGGCCGCAUUCCCGUUAAAUAGGGCACCAUCAUAAUCCAUUGAGACGAAGCCUUAUGAACUAUGGUUUGGCAAGAAACCAAAGUUGUCAUUUCUUAAAGUUUGGGGCUGCGAUGCUUAUGUGAAGAAACUUCAACCAGAUAAGCUCGAACCCAAAUCGGAGAAAUGUGUCUUCAUAGGAUACCCAAAAGAGACUGUUGGGUACACCUUCUAUCACAGAUCUGAGGGCAAGAUUUUCGUUGCUAAAUUCAGAUCCUUUCUAGAGAAGGAGUUUCUCUCGAAAGAAGUGAGUGGGAGGAAAGUAGAACUUGAUGAGGUAACUGUACUUGCACCCUUAUUGGAAAGUAGUUCAUCACAAGAACCGGUUCCUGUGACAACUACACCAAUCAGUGAGGAAGCUAAUGAUAUUGAUCAUGAAACUUCCGAUCAAGUUACUACUGUACCUCGUAGGUCUACCGGAGUAAGAUCUGCACCAGAGUGGUACGGUAAUCCUAUUCUGGAAGUCAUGUUACUUGACCAUGGCGAACCUACGAACUAUGAGGAAGCGAUGAUGAGCCCAGAUUCCGCAAAAUGGCUGGAGGCCAUGAAAUCUGAGAUGUGAUCCAUGUAUGAAAACAAAGUAUGGACUUUGGUUGACUUGCCCGAUGAUCGGCGAGCCAUCGACAAUAAAUGGAUCUUCAAGAAGAAGACUGACGCUGAUGGUAAUGUAACUGUCUACAAAGGUCGACUUGUUGCGAAAGGUUUUCGACAAGUUCAAGGAGUUGACUACGAUGAGACUUUCUCACCCGUAGCGAUGCUUAAGUCUGUCCGCAUUUUAUGAUUAUGAAAUUUGGCAAAUGGAUGUCAAAACUGCAUUCUUGAAUGGAUUUGAGGAAGAAGAGUUGUAUAUGAUGCAACCAGAAGGUUUUGUCGAUCCAAAAGGUGCUAACAAAGUGUGCAAGCUCCAGCGAUCCAUUUAUGGACUGGUGCAAGCAUCUCGGAGUUGGAAUAAACGCUUUUAUAGUGUGAUCAAAGCAUAUGGUUUUAUACAGACUUUUCGAGAAGCCUGUAUUUACAAGAAAGUGAGUGGGAGCUCUGUAGCAUUUCUGAUAUUAUAUGUAGAUGACAUAUUAUUAAUUGGAAAUGAUAUAGAAUUUCUAGAUAGCAUAAAGGGAUACUUGAAUAAAAGUUUUUCUAUGAAAGACCUCGGUGAAGCUGCUUACAUAUUGGGCAUCAAGAUUUAUAGAGAUUGAUCAAGACGCUUAAUAGGACUUUCACAAAGCACAUACCUUGAUAAAUUUUGAAAAGGUUGAAAAUGGAUCAGGCAAAGAAAAGGUUCUUGCCCGUACUACAAGGUGUGAAGUUGAGUCAGACUCAAUGCCCGACCACAGCAGAAGAUAGAGAGAGAAUGAAAGAUGUUCCCUAUGCUUCAGCCAUAGGCUCUAUCAUGUAUGCAAUGUUGUGUACCAGACCUGACAUGUGCUUAGCAAUAAGCUUGGCAGGAAGGUACCAAAGUAAUCCAGGAGUGGAUCACUGGACAGCGGUCAAGAACAUCCUGGAAUACCUAAAAAGGACAAAGGACAUGUUUCUCGUAUAUGGAGGUGGCAAAGAGCUACUCGUAAAUGGUUACGUCGAUGCAAGCUUUGACACUGAUCCGGACGAUCCCAAAUCGCAAACUGGAUACAUGUUUUUAUUAAACGGUGGAGCUGUAAGUUGGUGCAGUUCUAAACAAAGCGUCGUGGCGGGAUCUACAUGUGAAGCGGAGUACAUAGCUGCUUUGGAAGCAACAAAUGAAGGAGUCUGGCUGAAGGAGUUCAUUUCUGAUCUAGGUGUCAUACCUAGUGCAUCGGGACCAAUGAAGAUCUUCUGUGACAAUACUGGUGCAAUUGCCUUGGCAAAGGAAUUCAGAUUUCACAAGAGGACCAAGCACAUCAAGAGACGCUUCAAUUCCAUCCGGGACCAAGUCCAGGUGGGAGACAUAGAGAUUUGCAAGAUACAUACGGAUUUGAAUGUUGCAGACCCAUUGACUAAGCCUCUCUCACGAGCAAAACAUGAUCAGCACCAAGACUCCAUGGGUGUUAGAAUCAUUACUGUGUAAUCUAGAUUAUUGACUCUAGUGCAAGUGGGAGACUGAAGGAAAUAUGCCCUAGAGGCAAUAAUAAAGUUAUUAUUUAUUUCCUCAUAUCAUGAUAAAUGUUUAUUAUUCAUGCUAGAAUUGUAUUAACCGGAAACAUGAUACAUGUGUGAAUACAUAGACAAACAUAUAGUCACUAGUAUGCCUCUACUUGACUAGCUCAUUAAUCAAAGAUGGUUAUGUUUCCUAACCAUAGACAUGUGUUGCCAUUUGAUUAACGGGAACACAUCAUUAGGAGAAUGAUGUGAUUGACUUGACCAAUUCCGUUACUUAGCACUUGAUCGUUUAGUAUGUUGCUAUUGCUUUCUUCAUGACUUAUACAAAGUUCCUAUAACUAUGAGAUUUUGCAACUCCCGUUUACCGGAGGAACACUUUGUGUGCUACCAAAUGUCACAACGUAACUGGGUGAUUAUAAAGGAGCUCUACAGGUGUCUCCAAUGGUACAUGUUGAGUUGGCAUAUUUUGAGAUUAGGUUUUUUCACUCCGAUUGUCGGAGAGGUAUCUCUGGGCCCUCUCGGUAAUGCACAUCACUAUAAGCCUGGCAAGCAAUGUAGCUAAUGAGUUAGUUACGGAAUGAUGAAUUACGUAACGAGUAAAGAGACUUGCCGGUAACGAGAUUGAACUAGGUAUUGGAUACCGACGAUCGAAUCUCGGGCAAGUAACAUACCGAUGACAAAGGGAACAACGUAUGUUGUUAUGCGGUUUGAUCGAUAAAGAUCUUCGUAGAAUAUGUAGGAGCCAAUUUGAGCAUCCAGGUUCCGCUAUUGGUUAUUGACCGGAAACAGUUCUAGGUCAUGUCUACAUAGUUCUCGAACCCGUAGGGUCCGCAUGCUUAACGUUACGAUGACAGUUAUAUUAUGAGUUUAUAGUUUUUGAUGUACCGAAGGUUUUUCGGAGUCCCGGAUAUGAUCACGGACAUGACGAGGAGUCUCGAAAUGGUCGAGACAUAAAGAUUGAUAUAUUGGAAGCCUAUAUUUGGAUAUCAGAAUUGUUCCGGGUGAAAUCGAGAUUUUACCGGAGUACCAGGGGGUUACCGGAACCCCCCCGGCUGGGGUUAAUGGGCCUACAUGGGCCCUAAGGGAGAAGAGGAGGGCCGGCCAGGGCAGGCCGUGCGCCCCCUCCCCCCUAGUCCGAAUAGGACAAGGAAGGGAGGGCGCCCCCCUUUCCUCUCUCCCCCUUCCUUCUCCAACAAGACAAGAGGGGGGAGUCCUACUCCCGGUGGGAGUAGGACUCCUCCAAGCGCACCCCUAGGGGCCGACCGCACCUCCCCCCUCCCUCCUUUAUAUACGGGAGCAGGGGGGCACCCCAUGACACACAAGUUGAUCUUCGUGAUCGUUCCUUAGCCGUGUGCGGUGCCCCCUUCCACCAUAUUCCACCUCGGUCAUAUCGUAGCGGUGCUUAGGAGAAGCCCUGCGUCGGUAGAACAUCAUCACCGUCACCACACCGUCGUGCUGACGGAACUCUUCCCCGACACCCUGCUGGAUCGGAGUCCGGGGAUCGUCAUCGAGCUGAACGUGUGCUGAACUCGGAGCUGCCAUACGUUCGGUACUUGGAUCGGUCGGAUCGUGAAGACGUAUGACUACAUCAACCGCGUUAUUCUAAAGCUUCCGCUUUCGGUCUAUGAGGGUACGUGGACAACACUCUCCCCUCUCGUUGCUAGGCAUCACCUUGAUCUUGCGUGUGCGUAUGAUUUUUUUUGAAAUUACUACGUUCCGCAACAGUGCUUAGCUUUGGGUUCAAUCUUGCGGUGUCCUUACCCAGUGACAGAAAGGGUUGCAAGGCACGUAUUGUAUUGUUGCCAUCGAGGAUAACAAGAUGGGGUUUAUAUCAUAUUGCAUGAGUUUAUCCCUCUACAUCAUGUCAUCUUGCUUAAUGCGUUGCUCUAUUCUUAUGAACUUAAUACUCUAGAUGCAGCCAGGAGUCGGUCGAUGUGUGGAGUAAUAGUAGUAGAUGCAGACAUGAGUCGGUCUACUUGUUAUGGACGUGAUGCCUAUAUACAUGAUCAUGCCUAGAUAAUCUCAUAACUAUGUGCUUUUCUAUCAAUUGCUCGACAGUAAUUUGUUCACCCACCGUAAUACUUAUACUAUCUUGAGAGAAGCCUCUAGUGAAACAUAUGGCCCCCGGGUCUAUCUCUUAUCAUAUUUGCUUUCAAUCUACUUUUAUUUGCAUCUUUACUUUUUGCAUAUAUAUUAUAAAAUACCAAAAAUAUAUUUAUCUUAUCUUAUCCACUUUAUUAGAUCUCACUUUUGCAAGUGGUCGUGAAGGGAUUGACAACCCCUUUAUUGCGUUGGUUGCGAGUUCUCAGUUUGUUUGUGUACGUGUGUGGGACUUUUGAGGAGCCUCCUACUGCAUUGAUACCUUGGUUCUCAAAACUGAGGGAAAUACUUACGCUACACUUGCUGCAUCACCCUCUCCUCUUCGAGGAAAACCAAUGCAAGCUCAAGACGUAGCAGUGAGCAUCAUGAAAUUGGUGAUGGAGGAUGGUUGAUGAUGACGACGGCGACGAAUCCCCCUCUCCGGAGCCCCGAACGGACUCCAGAUCAGCCCUCCCGAGAGAGAUUAGGGUUUGGCGGCGGCUCCGUAUCGUAAAACGCGAUGAAACUUUCUCUCUGAUUUUUUUCUCCGCGAAACGGAAAUAUAGAGUUGGAGUUGAGGUCGGUGGAGCAUCAGGGGGCCCACGAGACAGGGAGGCGCGCCCAGGGGGAGGGGGCGUGGACAGGGUGUGGGCCCCCGGAUUCUUUCGCCGGUAUUUUUUAUAUUUUCCAAAAGUUACAUCCGUGGAUUUUUAGGUCAGUCCGAUAACUUUUAUUUUCUGCACAAUAAACAACACCAUGGCAGUUCUGCUGAAAACAACGUUAGUCCGAGUUAGUUUCAUUCAAAUCAUGCAAGUUAGAGUCUAAAACAAGGCAAAAGUGUUUGGAAAAGUAGAUACAUUGGAGACGUAUCACUCCCGCAUAAAUAGUAAAAUCAAAAAAAAAUAAAGAAAAUUCAAAAAAAAUGAAUUUUUCUGUGACGAACAUUGACAAAAUUUCUUACCGCGUGCAAAAUUUCAGGCUGAAAUGACAUUCACGAAUGUCAUUGGGAUCUGAAACUUUGCACGCGGUUAGAACAAUCGUCAAUGUUAGUCAUAAAAAAAUUCAGACUUUUUGAAUUUUUUUACUAUUUUUUCAAUUUUACUGUUCAUGCGAGAGCAUAUGAGCUCGGGAUCAAAAAGCACUUUCCAGCUAGUACGCAGUUACUGCUGAUCAAGCGUGAAGUUUUACAAACGACACACCUUUUCCUUUUUCUUACGGCGUGGUUGUGCUUGCGGCCAUAGCUACAGGAAAAAUAUACAUGUGCGGCCUCUUGAAUGACGCCACCCGUGGAAAUGCUAGGCAGAAAUCCCGUAAUCCCUUCAACAAUAUAUUUGCACUUCAGUGAAUUUUAAGUGUACCAUCUGGUUUACACUUCUUUGUCGUGUGUGUGGGUAAUUUUGUCUAAAAUAUAUUUAGUCAUUGAAGAGACAAAAACCCCACCGGAGAAGGUUCUAGCAACUACCAACAUACUUCUGUCAGUGAUGUGGGUAUCAACUCGUAAUUUUAUUCCACUUGUCUAUGUAUGGUCCCCGUCCUAAAAUGGGAAAACAAAACCCCAUUUGCAAUGUGGGUCUCCCACAAACAGGUGUUUUGCUUUGCCCUUAUGAGAUUGGUGUCCUUCAUAGUUUUUUUUAGUGUUUACCCAUCUGCCUUGUUGUGUACAGAGCAGAUUGAUAGAAGUAAAUGUAAGCCAUCUCUCACACCAGAUCUAGCUGCAUAUCGUCACAAGGUUGCACAACACAACAAUCUUUUCAUAUAUUCACAAUUUCAUAGACAAGUAUUUCACAGUAUCCAGUUCCUAUAAAUUCAUAUGCAUCUCAUCAUACAUUGCAACACUGCAUGGAGUUGUAGGCGGUUCCUGAAUUUUUUCCAUGUUUGUUUAUCAUCUUGUGACGUGGAACACAUAUGCUAAUUGUGCACGAUGUUACUCAACAUCCUACGUGACAACCCUUCCAAAAACUAAUGCACUACAUUUAUUAGAUAUAUAUAUAUAUAUAUACAAUAUAAUGUGAUAGAAUGCAUGAUUUAAAAGAGCAACAGCCUUGUAUAAUCUUCAAGGACGGGCAGCUUCUGCUCGUCGUUUUAGCCAUACAUGGCGCGGACCAUCCUUGCAAAGUUUAGUGACGCUGUGAUGAAGCUAUGCGAUAGUGUCGACUUUGUCCUAGAGAAGCAUACCCUGUUCAGACCCUCCCAUUCAUUCCUGAUCAUCUCCAGCAUGUGCUUCUCCACAUCACCAUGAGGAUUUUCUCUUUGGUACAACUCCUUGUAUGAUCCAUCUAACCCAUUUUGCGAUUCAUCCUAUAUGAGACGAAGAACAAAAAUGAUCAUGCAUUAUUUGGUCAAUAUUGACGUGAAUUUUGUUCCAGCAUGCUAUAAAGUGAAUGAAUUUAUCUAAAAUGAUCACUAGUAGAAAAGGGGGCAUUUGUCCCGGUUCGUAAGGGCCUUUAGUCCCGGUUCAUGAACCGGGACUAAUGGGUCGUUACUAAUACCUCCCCCCUUUAGUCCCGGUUCAAACACGAACCGGGACAGAUGGUCCUCCACGUGGCCGGCGCGCCGAGCCCUGGCAGGGGGGGCCUUUGGUCCCAGUUGGUGGCACCAACCGGGACCAAAAGACAUCCACGCGUCANNNNNNNNNNNNNNNNNNNNNNNNNNNNNNNNNNNNNNNNNNNNNNNNNNNNNNNNNNNNNNNNNNNNNNNNNNNNNNNNNNNNNNNNNNNNNNNNNNNNNNNNNNNNNNNNNNNNNNNNNNNNNNNNNNNNNNNNNNNNNNNNNNNNNNNNNNNNNNNNNNNNNNNNNNNNNNNNNNNNNNNNNNNNNNNNNNNNNNNNNNNNNNNNNNNNNNNGGUUGGGGGUUUUGGGGGGUUAAUUUAGAUGUUUCAUAUAUUGUGUUAGCUAACUAAUUAAUAGAGAAGUGUCCUCUCUUAUGUCGGUGCUUGUUCGACGCUACGUACUAUAUACAUAUAGCCCUCGACAGGCUAGCUAGUAAGAAAAUGAAGGGAACCAUUGAGUACAGAAGUUCGUCAUGCAUACCGAGAGAAAUGAUCGAUCGACCUCUCCUUCUUCGAGAAAUUGGUCGAACAUCAAGUUUUCGUAUCAUGUACAUCCGACGCUACUGGCUACAUACAUGUACAAUAUGUAAGAUCUCUCAAUUACAGUCCCCUAGCAUUUGAAAUCAACUUCCACAUGGUAUUCUCCGGCUUUAUUGAUGACGUGGUCAAGAAAGAAUCCCGCCAAUUCCUCUUGAAUUGCUUUCAUGCGAUCUGGUUCUAGGAGUUCAUUCCGCAUCUGCCACGUCUAAUUUGAAGAAGGGGGUUAAUUAAUACAUAUAUAUGAAUGAAACUCAACAGAAAUGAUGGUGUAAUAAAAUGAAAUUGUGAAUAUUAUUGCUUACGCACUUCAUAUUGUCUUUGAUAGUAGCCCCGCUUGUUUUUCAAAGUCGCGGUGUGGAUGAAUUCGCACACGUAGUAUCCACAGAAAGCAUUCCCUUGUUCCUGCCACAAGCACUUUACGAGAAAUAGAGGUCAAUCAAACUGAGAAUAAAGCAUUAUAAAUGGCAUUGAUGAAAGUAUAGUUAUAGAAUCAACGGGAGAUGCGCGCAACUAGCUAGCCAGUAGUACUUACUUUCGGGUAUGUAUAUCGCAGCUCCUUUGGCAGUCCCGGAGCUUCUGCGGUGAACUGUUUCCAAAUCCUGCAAGACAAAGAAAAUAAUUAUUAUUACUUGAGAUAUCAGGAAGUGAACAAAAAGUUGCCGAUAUGGUGCGAUAAUGAUCGAUUGAACUUACUUGCUGAGCAUUUUAGUCAUGUCCGCAUAGGUUUUGGGAUCUUUUCGUCUCGAGUCUAAGACGGUUACUAGUCCACGCUCAAGCUUAAUCUGCAGAAGAAUAUAGUGGUACCUGUGCACGCAUGCAUAACUCAUCAAUUACAUUGCUAUAAACUCGCUCGAGUAAUAAGGGAAACCGAAUAUGCACACAACAGUAACACUCACUUGCCGUUGUAAGGAAAGAGUAUGGUAUCUUUGUUUUGAUUUUUGAUCAACGAUUGUAGCAAGUUGUCCUCGUCCUCUUUGACGUCCUUUUCAACCAGAAAUUCAUCUAUGAUAUUUGUGUUAAUGAACCCAAUAUCAUAAAUUUCUUGUUUUUUGCACUCGACGAUCUUCAAUCUGCAUAAUAUAUUCAGGAUAAUUAAUUAUAAAUACAUGCAAUGAAAGAGUUGAGCUAUAUAUAGAGACUUAAUAACAGAAAUAGUACUUACAGGCAGUAGCAAAAGACCGUUAAUUUAUCGAGGGCCUUUUGAUUGAAGAACUCGAAGAACUCCUCAAAUGGAAAAGGCAACAGAUCAUUUCCAACGAGGUCGUGCUCCUCUUUAAUUCUCAGAUACAAAGUAUUCGUCCCCCCAGACUCCCUGCUGGUUUUCAUGUACCAAGUAUGGAAUCUUCGCAUCAUCGUUGUUAGAGAUUUUUCAUCUUUGACGAGAGGCUUCCCGUACUCGUAUCUGUGUUCGUCCACCUUCAUGAAAUCAGGAAGUGCAUCGUCAGGCAGGUAAUCUUGUGGAUUGCCAUAACCGGCUACCAUCCUCGGAGCAUUAGCGACGAUGUAAUUGCCGCUAGACACAUUGAGCGGGGGGCACGAUUGGUUUUCUUGUUCGCCGAGCUGGUCAAUUUUUUCGCAUCUGCUCGUUCUCUUGCUCUUUGAUGUCUAAUAGUACUUCCCGACCGCUCCGCUUGGAGAUAUGUCUAUUUAGUAAUGCACUCGUAGUUGGUUCUCGGCGGAGACUUUGCCGGUUUCCUCAGGGCAUCAAGAGUGCGCUUUGCUUUUACCGGAUCUACCUUCUCCUCCAGAGGUGGAUGUCUCUUUGCUUUCACCCCUUCAAAGAACUCCUUCAUGUAGGUCUGCAUGAUCGUAUCAUUUUCCUCCUCGGUCCUCUCAUACGGUAAUUUCUCUAGAUGCUUGAGAGGUGGACCAUAUCUAUAUUACCUCCUGCCUCUGGUUGUGCUCCUAGACGCCGGAGCAGACGGAGCGGCUGCGGCGUAUGUCUUCUUUCGUGCUUGCUUAUGAGGUGGAGGAGAAGGACUACGACGCGCCGGAGCAUCCGGGGCGAUGGCGGGUCUCUUCCGCCCUUGCUGGCGAGGCGGAGAAGGAGGAGGUUGCUGGCUGCUCGGGAGCGCCGGCGCAGGCGGAGAAGGAGGCGGAGUGCCGCCACGCGCCGGAGAAGGAGGCGGAGUGCCGCCACGCGUGCCCUGAUCGUCACUCGCCGGAGGAGGAGGCGGUGAAGGAGGCGGAGUGCCCUGACUCGCCAGAGGAGGAGGAGGAGGCGGAGGCAUCCAGUUCGGAAGGUUGAUGAGUUCCUUCCGCCAUAGGCAUGGAGUCUUCAGAGCAGAACCCAGCCUAGUCUCCCCUUCACCGGUAGGGUGGUCAAGCAGGAGGUCCUCAAAUCCCUCCGUUAUUUCAUCCACCAUCACCUUAGCAUAUCCUUCUGGAAUCAGCUGGUAGUGAUAAGUUGUGCCGGGUCCACUAGGAUAAACAGAGCCAACAGCCGCUUGACCUUCAAAUUCAUCCAUCGCGCAAUAAUAUGGCAAUUUUGAGACUCCGUGAUAUCAUCCACGGAAUAGCUGGCAGGAGCCGUCAAGACAUGCUCCGGCUGAAGCAGCUCGGUGGAAGCCAUGCUGCUUCUCCGCUCAGAUGGCGGGGUAGCUUCGGGGGAAGCUUCGGCAGGUCGUUUGCUGCGAUCUGCUGCUUCUCGUUCCCCUUCUCGUUCCUCUAGCCCCAUUACCCUUUCGUGCAGCGCCUGCAGUUGGCCCUGCUCCAGUUUCUUCCUCCUCUCAUGGGUUUUGUAACCCCCUGCGUCCGGAAAACCAACCUUCCACAAAAUGAAGCCUGGCAUGCCUCGUGUCCGUACAGGGUGCUCAGGAUUCCCGAGGGCCAUUGUGAGCUCGUCCUUCUCCCUGUCUGGAACGAACGUCCCUCGCUGCGCUGCAUCAAUAUAGUGCCGAAGGUUCUUGACUGGUAUUUGCAGUUGCUUGUUCGUCAAAUGGUACUUCCUUGAUACAGGGUCCAAGGUUCCGCCAGCCCCGAAGAACCAAGUCCAGCAACAGUCUGGCCAGUACAUUGUACCUGGUUCGAUCCCUUUUUCAAGCAGAUCAUGCUCAGCCUUGGACUACUUAGGCCAGGCUUUGAGGUAGCCACCUGACCCCGUGCGAUGGUAAAGCAUCUUCUUCGCAGCAUUUUGCUUGUUUGUCACCGACAUCUUCUUACUCUUUUCCGAUGUCUUGUGGGCCACAAAUGCGGGCCAGUGAUCUUUGAUCUUCUCAUAUUUGCCGAUGAAUUCUGGUGUCUUUUUUUUGUCGACAAACUUGUUCAGCUCUUUCCUCCACCUCCUGAAUAGGGUUGCCAUAUUCUUAAGAGCACAAGACUUGAUUAAUUGCUCUUUAACUAGCUUCUCCGGAUCCUCCUCUGGCGGUAGGGUGAAAUUUGCCUUCAGCUGAGUCCAAAGAUCUUCUUUCUGCAUAUCAUUAACAUAAGACACCUCAGGGUCUUCCUCCUUAGGCUUAUACCAUUGUUGGAUUCUGAUCGGGAUCUUGUACCUAACAAGAACCCCGCACUGAGCAGAAAAUGCGUGCUUUGUCCGGAUGGGUUCAAUCGGUUCGCCAUCGGGCGCGAUUUUUAUGAUCUCAAACUUUUCAUCCGAGCUCAACUUUUUCUUCGGGCCUCAUCUCCUUACCGAAGUUGUGCUCGAUCCGGAGGGCUAGAAAUUAUAAGGAAGAAAGACGAGAGUAAUUAAUAUGUGUACAUAUACCAAAACAAUGGAUGCAUCAAUUAACUAGUCAGCACGGGCUUAACUAAUAUAUAUAUAUACCUGGCCAGACUCGGUUCGGUCACCGGAGCAGUCAGCACGGUCUCCUUCUUGUACCUCCAUUGUGUCAUCAGAGCCAUCAUGAACAUAGUCCUCUUCUUGUACCGGCAAUAGUGGGACGAAGCCAUCAUGAACAUAGCCCUUUUCUUCACCUAGUCCUUCCUGACCAUCGGUGUCGUUGAGAAAUGACGCAACUUGAUCACUUCCUUGUGCGAUUAUGUCCCCCAACAUCGCUUCUGUUUCUUCGUAUUGGGAGUGCUCCAUAGUUUCUGCAAAUAUUUACAACAUGUCAAUUAUUAUUCAAACAUGGUACAGAUGGAUAUAUAUAUAUAUAUAUAUAUAUAUAUAUACAUAUAUAUUAGUGGAAAAUGUAGAACUAGCUAGCUAAUCACAGUAAGGAAUCAUGUUAGUGGCCUCGACGCUGCUUCUCUAGGGUUUGGGGUCGCCUCGACACAACGCUUCAAGGGUUUGGGGUGGCCUCGAUGACAACGCUCUUUUAACUUGGUAAAUUUGGGUGGCCUCGAGAGGUUAAUUUGUCGGGUAGGGGCGCGGCGGGAGGGGGUAGGAGACCAACAUUGUUUUCUCUCUAGGGUUUGGGUGUCCUCGCGGGAGUUUUGGUCGAGCGAGAGGGCCGAGGGGGGUGCUGCCAUGGUAUAAGUUAUCACGGUCGAGAGGGGGUAUAUAUAUCGACCGCCCCUCAUGUCGAAGUUAUCUCGAGGGGGUUAUAUCGACAACGACACGACAUACAUAUACAUGGGAAAAUAAUGUUAUCGGGGAGGGGUAUCGGUACCCUCCCCCCCCCCCUCGUGUUGAAGUUUCUUCUUUCUCCUCUAUUCCUUUCUUCUUCUUCUCCUCUUAUUUUUCUUCUUCUCCCUCGAGAAAGGAAAAUAUGGAAAAGGAAGAAAAGAGGAAGAAGCAAGAAGGAAGAAGAAGAAGAAAAAAAAGAGGAGAAGAAGAAAGGAAUAGAGGAGAAGAAGAAAAAUAAAAAAUUUCUAUUUUUUCUUCUUCUCCUCUAUUCCUUUCUUCUUUUCCUCUUCUUUUUUCCUCUUUUUAUUUAUUUCUCCUCUUCUUCCUCUCCUCUUCUUCUCCUUUCUUCCUCUUCUUAUUUUCCUUUUUCCUCUCAUUCUUUUAGUAUUGCUUGUUUUAAAAAAAAUGUUCAAAUAGAAAAUUUCGAAAAAAAACAAAGGUUUUGCCUAAUGCAUUGUUCAUAUGAAUAUACAAACAUUUGCAUAUACUACAAUAAUUAAUAUCACCAAAAAAAAUCUAUGAACAGAAAAAAUCCUAACUUUUCUAAAAAUCUAUCUUUUGCAUAUAUGAAAACAUUAAUACACAUAUGAACAAAAAAUACAUAUAUGAACAAAAACAUGCUCCGAACAAUUUUUUUAUACAUUUUGAACAUCUACAUACACAUAGCCACAUACAUACACAUAUACAUUAUAUAUAUGAACAAAAAAAUUAAACUAAUAAAAGUGAAAAAAAACAGAGCCAGGGCGGCGCGGCGGCUCACAGCGGGGGCGGCUAGCGACGACGAUGGCGACGGUGGGGGUGGCGACGAGGACGGCGCGGGUUCGGGAAGGCGACGGCCUUGGCGGCGGCGGCGACGACGGCGAGGUGGAGCAGCCUGGCGGCGUCGAGGAGGUCAACGUCGUCGGGGACAACUGGCGAUGAAAUUCUGAAUUUUUGCAAAGUGUUUGCUUAUAUAGCAAAGCCAUUGGUCCCGGUUCGUGAAACCAACCAGGACUAAUGCACCCUUUAGUCCCGGUUGGUGCCACCAACCGGGACAAAAGGCCUCUUUUUCGGCAGCCCAAAGGGCGGGAAGCGGCGGCAUUUGGUACCGGUUGGUGCCACCAACCGGGACCAAUGCCCCCCCCUUUAGUCCCAGUUGGUGCCACCAACCGGGACCAAAGGCCCCUGUGCUGCCCGCGUCGGGGCCAAAGUUUAGUCCCACCUCGCUAGUUGAGAGGGGCGCGCAGUGGUUUAUAAGCCCCACUGCCGCACCCCUCUCGAGCUCCUCUCCACCGCAGGCUUUCGGGCCUACUUGCUAUUGCUUUGCCUGAUGGGCCUUCUGAGCCUACUGCGGGCCUGAAUCCUGGCCCAUAGUAGGGUUUCUAGUCGUAUUCAGGCCGUGGGGGCCCAGUAGGAGGCAUUUUUUUUGUUUUUUUGUUUUCUUUACUUAUUGUUGCUAUUUUUAUUUUUUUCCAGUUUUUUGUUUUGUUUUCUGCAUUAUUUAUUUUCUUUUGUUUUUUGAUUUAUUUUUUAAUUCUUUUUGCUUUUAGUUUUAGGAAAAUUAUACACUUUCUGUUAGUGCCUUUAGUUUUCAAAUUUGAAAACACUUUUUGUUUUUUUAUUUUAUUUUGUUUAUACUUACAACAAAAUACUUAUUGUUGCUAUUUUUAAUUAUUACGAGGGCCGAACCAUAAGACAUUAAAGCAUUUCAAAUUAACUCUGAAAAAGUUGAAAGUUGGCAUGGUAUCAUAAAUUGACCCAUAUAGCAUGUGCAUGUACAAAACGGACAAUGGUAUCAUACUCGUCAGUUACAAAGUUGGCAUGGUAUCAUCAUAAUAGUUGCAGGAGAAAGUCUUCACUUCUUCUUCGCUUGUGUCAUUUGCUUAUUGCGCCGUAACCAUGGAUAAUCUUCAUCGUUUAUCAGGAUGCUGGGGUCAGCCUUGACUUUAAAGGGAGGAAUUUCAUGAAACUUUUCAUAAUCUUCAGACAUGUCUGUCUUGCCCUCCACUCCCACGAUGUCCCUUUUUCCUGAAAGAACUAUGUGGCGCUUUGGCUCAUCGUAUGAUGUAUUUGCUUCUUUAUCUUUUCUCUUUCUCGGUCUGGUAGACAUGUCCUUCACAUAGAUAACCUGUGCCACAUCAUUGGCUAGGACGAACGGUUCGUCAGUGUACCCAAGAUUUUUCAGAUCCACUGUUGUCACUCCGUACUGUGGGUCUACCUGUACCCCGCCUCGUGACAAAUUGACCCAUUUGCACUUAAACAAAGGGACCUUAAAAUCAUGUCCGUAGUCAAGUUCCCAUAUGUCCACUAUGCACUAGUAGAAAAAGGGUCAAACGUGCAGCACAUUAGUGCCGGUUUGUAUUAGAGCCGGCACUAAUGUAUACAUUAGUGCCGGUUCCAACGGCUAGCCGGGCCGCUCUCAUUAAUACCGGUUCGUGGCUAACCUUUAGCACCAGUUCGUGCCACGAACCGGUACUAAUGAGGGUGGUGGAAGGAUGUUGUCAGUCUGGGCCCCCUCCAGCACCUUUAGUACCGGUUCGUGCCACGAACCGAUACUAUAGGUCGACGUACAUAAACCCUUGGUCCACCCGAGCCACUCUGUUCUUCCCCUUUCCCCUCACUUCUCCUCUGUUCUUCCCCUUUCCCCUCGAGCUCCUCACAAAUUUUGCCCAAAAUUUGUCAAGAUUUGAAGGCCCCCAUCCAUUCAAAUGAUCACAAAGGUUAGCAACUUUGUCCUUUCAUCUCUCAUUGCUAGAUUAGCUCUUGCAAUGCUUUAUAUAGUUACUAAUUUGUGAGUUUAGUAAUUUGGGAGGAAAUAUAUAUAUGUGCUAGUAUUUGAUUUAUAUGCAAUUUGAGGUCAAAAAUAACACUUAGUUUGCAUAUGUAGGUGUGGUUUACUUAGUGCCUUCUAAAUCUCCGCGUAACCACCGUCGAUCGCCCGCACCGUCCCGUCACCGGCACCACCUUGUGGUGAGCCUCUUGUUCAUGUAAUUUUAUAUAAAAAAUUGAUGUUUGUGUGAUUUGGAUAUAUAGUUAAUCAUGUAAUAAUUAUCAUACCCGUACGUUGUUUGUUAUACAUAGUGCCAUGGUUUUGAUAUCCGUCCCCGUCGGCCCUCGUCCUUGUUAUGAUUCGGAUGUGGUAUAUUCUCUUUUAAAACUAUUAGUUGCAUUUCGUGUUUAUGACAAAUUAUGCCCAUCAAGUUGACAUAGAUAUUUUUAUCUAGGAGGUAUGUGAACCGGAAAUUCCAACCGACCCUAUUGUCGAGAGUUUAAAUUUAGUUGAAAGAGAAAACGAGUACUUGAAAGAAAAAUUGAAAAGAAUUGAGGGGGAGAAGAUGGAAUUGGAGUUGCAUGUUGCCGAUGUCGUCGAUGAUCACAAGAUCAAGAUUGAGAAAAUGCUCUGGAAGAAUAGAAAGAUUAGAAAAUAUGCCAUCGAUAGUGAGGCUUGGUAUCAUUAUGCUGUUGGAUCAAUUGUUACCUUAGUUGCGAUCUUGAUCGCAUUUGUUGUUGCAUUUAAAUGCUUUAGCUAGAGAGUUAUUUGUUUGUUGCAUUUAAGUGUUGUAUGAACUUUAUGUAUGAACUUGUAUUAAUUUGGUCUAUUCGGUGUUGUGUAAUGAAGAUGAGCCGGCAAUGGAUGUACGAUGACCGAUGCUCUCCCCAGUUCGUUGAGGGCGUGCAUACUUUUCUGCUUGCGGCUGAGGCAAACAAGCGGGCGGAUGGUUUUAUGCCGUGUCCAUGUGGUGUCUGUAAGAAUGGUCACAAUUACUCUACGUCAAGAACCAUUCACGUCCACCUGUUUAAGUCCGGUUUCAUGCCCCACUAUAAUGUUUGGACCAAGCAUGGAGAAAGAGGGGUUAUGAUGGAAGACAAUGAAGAAGAAGAGGACGACGACAGCUAUCCUGGCCAUGGGUUCCCUGAAUACGAUGAUACAACAAUGGGGGAAGAAGCUGAGCCGGUAAUGCGGGAAGAAGCUGAGCCGGCAAUGCGGGAAGAAGCUGAAGAAGAGGCAUCAGAUGAGCCCGUUGAUGAUCUAGGUCGGGCCAUUGCCGAUGCAAAGAGAAACUGCGCAAGUGAUUUGGAGAAGAAUAAGUUGCAGCGCAUGUUAGAGGAUCACAAAAAAUUGUUGUACCCGAAUUGCGUAGGUGACAAGAAAAAGCUGGGCAUCACACUGGAAUUGCUGCAAUGGAAGGCAAAGAAUGGUGUAUCUGACAAGGGAUUUGGAAAGUUGCUGGUAAUGAUAAAGGAUAUGCUUCCAAAGGACAACGAAUUGCCCGAGAGUACGUACGAAGCAAAGAAGGCUGUCUGCCCUCUAAGGUUAGAGGUGCAAAAGAUACAUGCAUGCCCUAAUGAUUGCAUCCUGUACCGCGGUGAGUACGAGGAUUUGAACGCUUGCCCGGUAUAUGGUGCAUUGCGCUAUAAGAUCAUCCGCGAUGAGCCUGGUGAUGUCGAGGGAGAGCGCCCCAGGAAGAAGAUUCCUGCCAAGGUGAUGUGGUAUUCUCCUAUAAUACCACGGUUGAAACGUUUGUUCCAAAACAAAGAGCAUGCCAAGGCGAUGAGAUGGCACAGAGAAGAACGUAAGAAAGACAGAAAGUUGAGAGUACCCGCUGACGGGUCGCAGUGGAGAAAAAUCGAAAGAAAGUACGGGAAGGAGUUUGCAGAUGAUGCAAGGAGCGUAUGGUUUGGUCUAAGCGCAGAUGGCAUUAAUCCUUUUGGGGAGCAGAGCAGCAACCAUAGCACCUGGCAUGUGAUUCUAUGUUUGUAUAACCUUCCUCCUUGGUUGUGCAUGAAGCGGAAGUUCAUUAUGAUGCCAGUGCUCAUCCAAGGCCCUAAGCAACCCGGCAACGACAUUGAUGUGUACCUAAGGCCAUUAGUUGAAGAACUCUUACAGCUGUGGAAUGGAACAGGUGUACGUGCGUCGGAUGAGCACAUGGGGGAAGAAUUUGACCUCAAGGCGUUGCUGUUCGUGACCAUCAAUGAUUGGCCUGCUCUCAGUAACCUUUCAGGACAGACAAACAAGGGAUACCGCGGAUGCACGCACUGUUUGGAUGAUACCGACAGUAUAUAUUUGAAUAGUUGUAAGAAGAAUGUGUACCUGGGACAUCGUCGAUUUCUUCCGAGCAGGCAUCCCGUAAGAAAGAAAGGCAAGCAUUUCAAAGGUGAGGCGGAUCACCGGACGAAGCCUCGCCAUCGUACUGGUGAUGAUGUACAUGAUAUGGUCAAGGAUUUGAAGGUGAUAUUUGGAAAGGGUCCUGGCGGACAACCUGUUCCGAAGGACGCGGACGGACGCGCACCCAUGUGGAAGAAGAAAUCUAUAUUUUGGGACCUGCCAUAUUGGAAAGACCUAGAGGUUCGCUCCGCAAUCGACGUGAUGCACGUCACGAAGAAUCUUUGCGUGACCCUGCUUGGCUUCUUGGGCGUGUAUGGGAAGACAAAAGAUACACCUGAGGCACGGGAGGACUAGCAACGUAUGCAUGGAGAAGCAGACGGCAUACAUCAGGGUCAUGCAAGCUACGCUCUUACCAAAGAAGAGAAGGAAAUCUUCUUUGAAUGCCUGCUCAGUAUUAAGGUACCGUCUGGCUUCUCGUCGAAUAUAAAGGGAAUAAUGGCAGAGAAAAAGUUUCAGAACCUAAAGUCUCAUGACUGCCACGUGAUUAUGACGCAACUGCUUCCGGUUGCAUUGAGGGGGCUUCUACCGGAAAACGUUCGAUUAGCCAUUGUGAAGAUAUGUGCAUUUCUCAAUGCAAUCUCUCAGAAGGUAAUCGAUCCAAAAAUCAUACCAAGGUUACAGAAUGAUUUGGUGCAAUGUCUUGUCAGUUUCGAGUUGGUGUUCCCACCAUCCUUCUUCAAGAUCAUGACGCACGUCCUAGUUCACCUAUGCGAAGAGAUUAACGUUUUGGGUCCUUUAUUUCUACACAAUAUGUUCCCCUUUGAGAGGUUCAUGGGAGUCUUAAAGAAAUAUGUUCAUAACCGUGCUAGGUCAGAAGGAAGCAUCUCCAAGGGCCAUCAAAAUGAGGAGGUCAUUGAGUUUUGUAUUGACUUUAUUCCUGACCUUAAGCCGAUUGGUGUUCCUGAAUCGCGGCAUAAGGGUAGACUGGAUGGAAAAGGCACGCUAGGAGGGGAACAAAUAAUAUGUAUGGACGGACAUUCUCUCACUGAAGCACACUACACAGUUCUACAGAAUUCCACCUUGGUGGCUCCGUAUAUGGAUGAACACAAGAAUUUGCUACGCUCCAAACACCCGGAGCGUUCUGAUGAGUGGAUUACACGUGAACAAACCAGGAGUUUCGCCAACUGGUUGCAGACAUGUACCAUGCAUGCCACCUCUAUUGAAGAUGACCUGUACUUGCUGUCCCAGUUACCAUCUUCGAAUAUAAUGACUUUCAAAGGGUACGAGAUAAAUGGUAAUACAUUUUACACGAUUGCCCAAGAUAGGAAGAGCACCAACCAAAACAGUGGUGUCCGCUUUGAUGCAGAAACCAAGACGGGAAAGGAAACAUAUUAUGGUUAUAUACAGGACAUAUGGGAACUUGACUAUCGACGUGGUUUAAAGGUCCCUUUGUUUCGGUGCAAAUGGGUCAAUAUGACACGGGGCGGGGUAACGGAAGACCCGCAGUACGGAAUGACAACAGUGGAUCUCAACAAUCUUGCGUAUGCAGAGGAACCAUUCGUCCUAGCCAAUGAUGUGGCAUAGGUUUUCUAUGUGAAGGACAUGUCUACCAAGCCAAGAAAAAGAAAAGAUAAGGAAGCGAAUGCAUCAUACGAUGAGCCAAAGCGGCACAUAGUUCUUUCUGGGAAGAGAAACAUCGUGGGAGUGGAUGACAAGACAGACAAGUCAGAAGAUUAUGAAAAGUUUGAUGAAAUUGCUCCAUUCACAGUGAAUAUUGACCCGAGCAUCCUGUUAAAUGAUGAAGAUUUUCCAUGGUUACGGCGCAAAGGGACACACGCGAAGAAAAAGUUUCACACCCAAAGAUCUGGGAUGUGAUCGGCUUCACUAUCAUCACUUUCUUCUGUGUUUCACACCCAGGAGGGAAUGUCUGUAAUAGUUAGGGUAGUUAUGUGUUUUGGCAUUUGAAACGCGAAGAAAUUUUAUGUGCAAACAAAUUCUUUUCAUGCAUUUACUGAUUUUUCCAGCUAAAUGACCCUGAAAUUGAAAAGCAAUUCAAAUGAACUCAGAAAAGGUUGAAAGUUGGCAUGGUAUCAUAAUUUCAUACAAAUAGCAUGUGCAAGAAAGUAGAGAGGGUUACGGCAAAAACUGGAUGCACUUCGUGUACAAAAUGGACAAUCACUUUCGAAGUAUCAGGGUUUCCGAUGAAAACUGAACUGUUACAAAGGCAUUUCAUUUUUUAAAUAACCUAAGCAUUACUAAAUUGAAUAUAAUGAUAAAACACACUAAUAUUGAACAUAAGAAAAAAGAAUCACUGAAAAAACUUUUUUCAAAGUUAAGUUAUUCACAAACUAGUGAUUCACACAAAUUUCAAAUAAUUCAAAAUUUAAACUAUUCAAAUUUGAAAUCUACCGGCACUAACAGAAAGUUUGUAAUUUUUUGUACCUAAAGCAAAAAUAUUCACAAAGAAACUCUAAAUACAGCAAAAAACAACUCAAAAAUAAAUAAAACAAAAAAAAUAAAGCAAAAAAAAUUAAGAAAAAAAAAGCCCGCCAACUGGGCCAAAGCGGCCUGCAUACGACUAGCGACACAACCUUUCAUCGGGCCAGGAUGCAGGCCCGCAAAGGCCCAGUUGGCCCACAAGGCGAGGAGGACAGGUAGGCCCAGUAGGCCUGAUUAGGAGAGGAGCUCGAGAGAGCUACCGCACUGGGGCUUAUAAACCAGUGCGGUAGCCCCUCGACUAGCGAGGUGGGACUAAACUUCCGCACCGCACCUGCGCCAGCGCACCCCCUUUAGUACCGGGUGGUGGCACAAACCGGUACUAAAGGGGGGGCCUUUACUACCGAUUUGUGCCACCACCCGGUACUAAAGGGGGUGGCUUCCCGCCGCUUGGCCUGGCCAAAACAGACCUUUAGUACCGGUUGUUGGCUCCAACCGGUACUAAAGGUGCCUUCUAUAUAAGAAAGCACUUCAAAAUUUCGUCAGUUUCUCAUCUCCCUCUGCUUCUUCUCCUCUGCACCGUUGCCCGUCGCCCCAGCCCGUCGCCGCCCCCGUCGCCGCCCCGUCCCCGUCGUCGCCGCCCCCGNNNNNNNNNNNNNNNNNNNNNNNNNNNNNNNNNNNNNNNNNNNNNNNNNNNNNNNNNNNNNNNNNNNNNNNNNUCGUUGCCGCACCCGUCGCCGUCCCCGUCGCCGCGCGCCCCCCAUCGCCUCUCGCCUAGCCGGCCGGUGAGCGCGCGCACACACACACAUACAUUUUUAGUUAUAGAUUUUUCUGUUUUUAAGAAAUUGUUGGACAUUUUUCUGUUUUUUAGAAAUAGUUAGAAAUGUUAGAAUUGUUAGAUUUGUUAUAAAUGUUUGAAAUUGUAGAAAUUUUUCUGUUUUUUAGUUAUAGAAAUAUAUAGUUAUAGAAAAGUUAGAAUUGUUAGAAAUUUUUCUGUUUUUUAGUUAUAGAAAUAGUUAUAAAAAUGUUAGUUAUAUAUAUAGAAAUGUUAUAAUUUUUUUUCUGUUUUUAGUUAUAGAAAUAUUAGAAAUGUUAUAGAAAUGUUAGUUAUAUAUAGCAUUGUUAGAAAUGUUAUAGAAAUGUUAGUUAUAUAGAAAUGUUAGAAAUUUUAGUUAUCAAAAUCCAAUCAUUAAAAAAAUGUUACUUUUUGCGGGCAUAUAGCUAGUAUUUGUUCUCGACGAUGCCCGGCCCGCAUCCUCGCCAUCGACCCGUCCGCGACGAUGUCCAGCCGACCCAUGUCCAGGACUGGGCUCCGCCGGGCUGGCACUGGGAGGUGCUGCUUGGAGGGGCGCGCCGCUUGACGAGGAACCUGGCCGCGGGUCCAGUCGUCGACCCUGAUCUCGUUUGGUGGCGUUCGCGUGGGCCAGUUUCGGUGCGGAGGGACCCGGCCCCGCCGGAGGUGGUACGUCGCCGUGUCAGGGAGGAGGACGAGCACGUCCGUCGCUACAUGGUUGCGUUAGAGGGCGGCAGGUUCUCCAAUACGUGGCAGUAUCUUCGGGGAUCUCACUUCAGCUAUGAUCCUGUGAGGGUUCCUUCUCUUUGGGUGUCCACUGCCCACGUCGGAGGAACCACGAGUGUCCUAGAUCCUUCUGUAGUAUUCGAUCUUUAUUAGCUAAUAGCCAGUGAUGUACUAUUCAAUAUUAUAUAUUAUUCGAGACGAUGUAUUCGAGAUUAUAUCUAUUAUUCUGGACGAUGUAUUCGAGAUUAUAUCUAUUAUUCGAGAUUUGAAUACUAAAUUGUUUUAUAUUUCUUUUGGAUUAGGUAAACAAAAGCUAUGGCAGACAAUACCGACAGAGAGGGAGAACAGACCAUGUUCGAUAUGAUACGCGAGGCAGAUGAUAAUCAGAAUGAAGAAGAUUAUGAUGGCUCCGAAUUUCUAAACAACACCGGAGAGGGUGAUAUGAUAUUCGAUCACGACGAAGUCAUGAGUGAUUAUGACGAUGACGAAGAACAUGAUCCUGAAACAACAAACACCGACGAGGUAUAUAUAUUUAUAUAAGCAGGCAUCUGGUGAUCAUCACAUGUUUUAAAUGACUUGAAGAUAUAUUAACAAAUCGAUCUUUGUUCUGUCAUCCAUAUGGAUCGAGCAAAUCUUCAGACAAAAGGACGAAACGAGGCCCGAACAAAAAGUUGAAGCCGGGCGUAAAGUACAAUAUCGAGGCAUGCGGCCCUACUGGCAAACCAUUAGCGCCUAAGAAGAUUGCGGACAAGUUCGUUCGUCAGUGCGGAGUUCUUGUGAAGGACCAACUCCCGAUCAAACUUCAAGAAUGGAGAGCGCCAGCAAAGCCACGUCCAGAUGUUACUUAUGUCGACAAGAAUCAAAAAGAUCUGCUUUGGGAUACUCUCAUGGAACAUUUCACCCUACCAGAUCAUUUCACAGAAGCAGAUGUGCAGAAAGUCAAAGAGGCUGCUCUUAAGAUGAUGGCGACUCCAUUCAAGAACUACAAAAAUGGUGAAUGGAACAAGUACGUCAACGGAGGAAGGAAGACUCCAGUAUUCAAGGGAACACUUGAGAACCAACUGAUCAUUGGGCCGAUUUCGUGAAAUUCAAGGAUUCGGAAUUAGCUAAGGAACGGUCGAGAAUAAACAAGAAGAAUGCCGAAAAAAAGGAUAAGUUCCAUAAGCUGGGGCCAGGUGGCUAUGCGGUGGCAAUGCCUAAGUGGGAUAAGUUUGAGAAAGAGAUGGAGGAUGCAGGUGUCACUCCGGCUACUAAGAGCUGGCCCCCCAGGGUCAGGACUUGGUUCUAUGCGCAUGGGGGGGAGUUGGACCGGGAGACAGGCAAUGUUUCGACGAGGGCAAGUCUGAAGGGAGCCGACGAUGCGAUACUUGUUGCAAUAGAAGAGGCACGAACGGGGGUGUUCCAGCCCAACAGAGAGAACGACGAGCUUAUGCGUGCCCUGGGAAAUCCUGAACACCCGGGAAGAACACGAGGCAAGGGCGCUCUGCCGUGGUAUGAGGGGUUUUCAGACUGGAACAACGACUACAGAACCCGUGCGAGAAAGAAGAUUGCGGAGGAGAAGAAGAGGAAGAUGGAGGAGGAGCAGAGGAAGCGGGACUAUGAACGCCUUCAAGGCCUAGAAGCAAGUCAAGCGGAAUUGGUAGUCAAAUUCCAGCGGCAGCAGGAGCAGAUCGACUCACUUACCCAUCAAAGGGGGUCUCAGCAGCUGCAGUAGCUAGCGGAUGAUCCAGCAUUGGAUAGCACCGGCCCAUCCAUGCCGAGAAGCAGCGUGGGUUCCGUCCCGGAUGACCCAAUGCUGGGUAGAUACCCCGUGGAUGACAUCACGGAGAACACUAACUGCGAGCUACACGUCAAAAUGAAGAACAUAUCCAUGAAGGUGGCGGACGGCUGUGCUUUCAAAAAUCCCCCCGAGGCAACCUUCCAUUGCAACCCGAUUCCAGCGGGCUUUGCUCGUGUCGUGGUUGAUGAGGUGGUGGACCCAUAAUCGGGGCUACAGCUUGACAUUGCUGGAGGUGACGGCGAGCGCUUUCUCGGAGAGGCCAAACAUCGUAUCAUCCUAUGGAAAAAGGAUUGCAUCAUCUUUCCAAGGCCACCGACACCGCGUCACCCGAGUCCUCGUCGAAGUCCGCCACCGAGUCAGCAGACUCCCACUCCUCCAAGUCCGGCAAAGUGUCAGGACAAUCCUCCUCCUCCAAGUCCGGCAAAGUGUCAGGACAAUCCUCCUCCUCCAUGUCCGCCACAGCGUCAGACGUCUACUCCUCCUCCAAGUCCGGCACAACCUCAGGCCACUCCUCCUCAUCCAACUCAGUCCCGUCAGCCGUCUCCGCCGCCUCAGCAAUCGCAGAAGAGACACCCUGCAGCUCUGGUGCGUAGCCGUACGAGUUGAGGUAGUACAGGAAGUACAGGCGGAGGCAAGCGGUAUAAAUAUGGUCCAAGCCUGAAGCCACUUUCGCAGAGGUCUUAUGACAAGUCCGAGGAGGAAAUCACAGCCAUAUCGAAGGCCGAGGUGGAAGCCCAUUUUGCACCGAAACCGCCACCGCCGCCAAGGGAGAAAGUGCCUGAGGAAACGAUUGACCACUUUAUUCGUAUGGCUCAACCACCAGCUUCCAAGCCUGUUGACACAGACUAUGAGCGCCACAUCAGGAAGUUAAAUCGAGCACGUCUACAAAGGGAGGCGAGCACGUCUACAUCGGGAUCGAGCAAACAAGAAGCAGCUGCCAAAAAAUGCGGGAAAACCAUUCCCCAGCUGGGAGAACAGGCGGCGCAAUCGAUCCCCUCGCUUGUUGUGCCAACAACAGGUGACAGUACGCGCCCCCAAUAUUAUUGUGGGCAAACAGUGCAUGUUCCCGAGGUGGGCAAUGUGGUAAUAACGGAGGAGCAUAUAAUGCAGGCUGAAGUUCUCAACAUCACUAUUGGACAACUCCUCGAGAUCGAGCCCAUGCCUUUGCUUAGAGAGGAUGAAGUAAAACGGCAAUAUGUCCGGGGCCAACCUUUGGUCGCGCCAGACAAGGUCAAGAACCUCCCAACGAGAAUGUAUGAAUUGUAUCAAUGGUACAUGAACAUUACCAAGAUUUCAGAUCGAGUGUCCCUCAUGGUGAAUGUCAAGAAUGACCAUUACUACCAUGAGAAAGCUGGGUCCGUUGAGUAUUUAGAACUGUUUCAGUUAUACAAUAAGGAAGCACUCGACAAAUCUAUCGUCAGUUGCUAUUGUCUGUAAGUGAUUUCUUUCUAUAAUUUAAGUCUCAAGCUAGCUGUAGUGAUCCUUUUGAGAUCAAUCAUUACCUGUAAUUAUCCUCACUAUAUUCUUUUCUGUGGUGUUAUGCAGGAUGAAGAUAUAUGAAAUGAGAAAAGGUGGACGCUAUGGCAUUGGGUUCAUUGACCCAAACACCGUUUAUGAAUUCACAUGGAAGAUAAGUGAACGUCUUGCAAAGGAAGUAGAGGACAGCAUGCUAGAGUUCUUGAAGCGCCUCAAAUACAAUGAAGAUAUACUACUUCCUUACCACUUUGGGUGAGUCACACUGUCUUGUACUACAAAUUCUCCGUUUUUGCCUACUAGCUAGCUACAUGUUUUUGCUAACAUAUGCCCACUUAAUUAAGACAUGUAAACGUGUGUGCAUGCAGAUUUCACUGGGUCUUGUGUAUCAUUAAAGUUGACGCCGGAACAGUUGAAGUACUGGACUCACUAGUCUAAAAAAAACUGACUUUAACAUCUUGUAUGGGAUAGUCAACAGGUAAUUUCAAUCAUUAUUAACUAUAUAUCUCGGCCUAUUUAGUUCGUCAUUUCAUGAUAUGAACUAUUUAAUAACCCCUUUAUUCAUUUUCUUUGUCGGCGGACAGGGCUUGGGCAAGAUUCAUUAGCGUCACGCCCGGCGAAUGGAAACAAAAGCUUGAAUGGUUUCGACCCAAGGUAAGUAAUUAAGUAGUACUAGCUAGCUAGCUAGCUAGCUGCCAUCUCUUUAAUUAUCAUGCUUGAUUAAUUUUUAUCUGAUAAAAUUCCAUUCUCGUAAAGGCCCUGAAGCAGGCGCAGGGGACUGAUCUAUGUGCAUUCUGCGUUUGCGAGAACAUUCGCAUGACGGCGUCCGAAAGGAGCAGAUCUCAAAGACAGCAAUGGGUACGCUUGUCAGAACACUAUUCACAAUUUUUACACCAUUAUCGAUAUCUAGCUAGUCGCACAACUAAUACACAUGCAUAUUGAUCUCCUUCUUAAUAGUUCAAAGAGGUGCGGGAGAAGCUCAUAGAAACGAAGCGCGUAGAAGCACUUCAAGAGGAAAUAGCGGGAUUUUUGCUCGACCAGGUCAUAAAUCCGAAUGGAGAAUUCUAUUACCCGCUACCGCCCCAAUGAAAACCACUUUCAAUUGUCAUCGUGCUCCGAAGGCACCAAUUAGACUGGCUCCGAAGGCAACAUUCAUAUGUAGGAGAAAUUGUAUAUAUCUAUAAUGUGUGUAUGUGUGAAUUAAUUAAUAUGGUGGUUUAAUUUGUGAGACAUUGAUGUGAUAUAUAUAUGCAUGAUUGGUUCUACUAGAAAUUAUAUAUAUAUAAUGUGAUAUAUAUAUAUGCAUAACGUGAUAUAUAUAUAUGCAUAACGUGUACAAUGUGUAGUAUCGUAAAAUACCAGCAAACGAAAAAGAAUUAAAAUGGAAACACAAAAUUAAAUGAAAAAGAAAUCAUAAAACUAAAAACCCUCCAAACCUUAUAGUACCGGUUGGUCUUACAAACCGGUACUAAAGGGCUCCAGGUCCCCGGAGCUGGCUCGUGCCACGUGGUUGCCCUUUAGCACCGGUUCGUGCUGAACCGGUACUAAAGGGGGGGGGCCUUUAGUGACCACUAAUUAGUGCCGGUUAUGUAACCGGCACUAUAGGGCCUUACGAACCGGUGCUAAUGCCCGGUUCUGCACUAGUGAUGUAACCAUAAUAUGUGUCCUUUCCCCUCUCGGUUGUUGCAUCAAAGCGGACACCGCUGUUUUGGUUGGUGCUCUUUUGAUCUUCGUCAAUCGUGUAAACUGUAUUCCCAUUUAUCUCGUAUCCUUUCCAAAUCAAUACAGUCACAGAUGGUCCCCUGGACAACAAGUAGAGCUCAUCACAAACAGUGUUGUCACCUCUGAGACGUACUUCCAACCAACUGCUGAAAGUCCCGAUGUGUUCACAUGUAAUCCAGUCAUCGCACUGCUCCGGGUGUUUGGAGCGCAGACUGUUCUUGUGUUCAUCGACAUACGGGGUCACCAAGGUAGAGUUCUGUAGAGCUGUGUAGUGUGCUUGAGACCAAGAAAAUCCGUCCCUGCAUAUUAUUGAGUCCCUUCCGAGCGUGCCUUUUCCAGUCAGUCUCCCCUCAUACCGCGAUUUAGGGAGACCUAUCUUCUUAAGGCCAGGAAUGAAGUCAACACAAAACCCGAUGACAUCCUCUGUUUGAUGGCACAUGGAGAUGCCUCCUUCUGGCCUAGCGCAGUUACGGACAUAUUUCUUUAGGACUCCCAUGAACCUCUCAAAGGGGUACAUAUUGUGUAGAAAUACGGGGCCCAGAAUGACAAUCUCGUCAACUAGAUGAACUAGGACGUGCGUCAUGAUAUUGAAGAAGGAUGGUGGGAACACCAGCUCGAAACUGACAAGACAUUGCACCACAUCACUCCUUAGCCUUGGUCGGAAGAAAUCGACGAUGGCCCAGGUACACAUUCUUCCAGCACCUUGCCAGGUAUAUACUAUCGGUGUCAAGUAAACAGUGCGUGCAUGUGUGGUAUCCCUUGUUUGUCUGUCCUGAAAGGUUACUGAGAGCGGGCCAAUCGUUGAUGGUCACGAACAGCAAUGCCGUUAGGUUAAAUUCCUCCUGUUUGUGCUCAUCCCACGUACAUACACCGUUUCCAUUCCACAGCUGUAAAAGUUCUUCAACUAAUGGCCUUAGGUACACAUCAAUGUCGUUGCCGGGUUGCUUAGGGCCUUGGAUGAGAGCUGGCAUCAUAAUGAACUUCCGCUUCAUGCACAUCCAAGGAGGAAGGCUAUACAUACAUAGAGUCACGGGCCAGGUGCUGUGAUAGCUGCUCUGCUCCCCGAAAGGAUUAAUGCCAUUCGCGCUUAAAGCAAUCCAUACGUUCCUUGGCUCACUUACAAACUCAUCCCAGUACUUUCUCUCGAUUUUUCUCCAUUGCGACCCGUCAGCGGGUGCUCUCAACUUCCCGUCUUUCUUACGGUCCUCACUGUGCCAUCGCAUCAACUUGGCAUGCUCUCCGUUUCUGAUUAGACGUUUCAACCGUGGUAUUAUAGGAGCAUACCACAUCACCUUCGCAGGAACACUCUUCCUGGGGGGCUCGCCGUCAACAUCACCAGGGUCAUCUCGUCUGAUCUUAUACCAUAAUGCACCGCAUACCGGGCAUGCGUUCAGAUCCUUGUACGCACCGCGGUAGAGGAUGCAGUCAUUAGGGCAUGCAUGUAUCUUCUGCACCUCCAAUCCUAGAGGGCAUACGACCUUCUUUGUUGCGUAUGUACUGUCGGGCAAUUCGUUAUCCUUUGGAAGCUUCUUCUUCAAUAUUUUCAGUAGCUUCUCAAAUCCUUUGUCAGGCACAACAUUCUCUGCCUUCCACUGCAGCAAUUCCAGUAUGGUACCGAGCUUUGUGUUGCCAUCUUCGCAACUGGGGUACAACCAUUUUUUGUGGUCCUCUAACAUGCGAUCGAACUUUAGCUUCUCCUUUUGACUUUCGCAUUGCGUCCUUGCAUCGACAAUGACCCGGCGGAGAUCAUCAUCAUCGGGCACAUCGUCUGGUUCCUCUUGAUCUUCAGCAGCUUCGCCCGUUGCAGCAUCAUCGUGCACAUCGUCUGGUUCCUCUUGAUAUUCAGUAGCAUCACCGUAUUCAGGGGGCACAUAGUUGUCAUCGUACUCUUCUUCUUCGCCGUCUUCCAUCAUAACCCCUAUUUCUUCGUGCCUCGCCCAAACAUUAUAGUGUGGCAUGAAACCCUUGUAAAGCAGGUGGGUGUGGAGGAUUUUCCGGUCAGAGUAAGACUUCGUAUUCCCACAUAUAGGGCAUGGAAAACACAUAAAACCAUUCUGCUUGUUUGCCUCAGCCACUUCAAGAAAAUCAUGCACGCCCUUAAUGUAUUCGGAGGUGUGUCUUGAACCAUACAUCCAUUGCCGGUUCAUUUGCGUGCAUUAUAUAUAAUUAAGUGUGUCAAAAAUCAUUACAGAACAUCAUGAAUAGAUAAUUAAGUGACCAAAUUAACAGAAGUUCAUCAUCACAUUAAAACCAAAGUACAUUCAUAGUUCUCAUGUAACAACAUAAAGCUCUGCAGAGCAUCUAAAUUAAUUAAACCAUACACUAAAACUAUGUAAAACAUUUCAAUGCGAAAACAGAUGCGAUCAUAAUCGCAACCAAUGUAACAACUGAUCCAAUGGCAUAAUGAUACCAAGCCUCGGUAUGAAUGACAUAUUUUCUAAUCUUUCUAAUCUUCAAGGGCAUUGCAUCCAUCUUGAUCUUGUGAUCAUCGACCACAUCCACAACAUGCAACUCCAAUAUCAUCUUCUCCUCCUCAAAUUUUCUAAUUUUUUCCUUCAACAAAUUGUUUUCUUCUUCAACUAAAUUUAACCUCUCGACAAUAGGGUCGGUUGGAAUUUCUGGUUCAACAACCUCCUAGAUAAAUAAAAUCUAUGUCACGUUGGUCGGCAUAAUUGUCAUAAACAAUAAAUGAACCAAUAGUUAUGAAAAUAUAAUAUAUACCACAUCCGAAUCAUAGACGGGACGAGGGCCGACGGGGGUGGAUACCAAAACCAUCGCACUAUAUAAGAUGCAAUAAUAAAAGUAAGAAAAUUAUACAAGUAUCUAUAUAAACAUACAAGUAAGUUUUUUUUCCUUUCAGAAAGAAGAUAAGAACAAGAGGCUCACCACGGUGGUGCCGGGGACGAGAUCGGCGCGGGCGAUCGACGGCGGUGAAUACGGGGACGGGACAUGACGGACCGCUAAACCUAGACAAAUAUUGAGGAAAAUGGAGCUUGGAGGUUGAGCUUGGAGAGGAGAAAGCUUAAGUAGUGUGGUUCGGGCAUUCCAUCGAACACCUCGUGUGCGUAGGAGGUGAGCUAGAGCACCACAAAGCUCUUCCCUUGCCGGCCACGAAAAAUAGGGCAGUGGGAGUGCUCUGCUCGCAGGCGAGGGGUAUAUAUAGGCAACUAAUUGGUCCCGAUUCGUGGCCAGAACCGGGACUAAAGGGCAGCCUUUGGUACCGGUUCAAGCCACCAACCGGGACCAAUGGUGGUGGGCCAGGAGCGAGGCCCAUUGGUCCCGGUUCGUCCCACCAACCGGGACCAAUAGGUCCAGUCGAACUGGGACUAAUGGCCCACGUGGCCCGGUCGGCCCCCGUGGCUCACGAACCGGGUCCAAUGCCACCAUUGGUCCCGGUUCUGGAUUGAACCGGGACUAAUGGGCUGGCCCGGCCUGGACCAUUGCCCCCUUUUCUACUAGUGGAUUGUCAGUGCUAAUCCUAUAUUCUUAUGUGAUAAAGUUCUUGGUGUGUUCUGACCUUUGCACUGCCCAUGUCGUCCCAGAUCCUCAUGAUCUUUGCAGGGCACGAGAUGACCCGAUGGAUGUCGUCAUUGUUGCCCUUGUGUAAUUCAUGCCCCAACAUGAAGAAAAGAUGCAUGAAUACAAGUGGAGCUCCUGAAGUGACAAUCCCGUUUCUUAGAUAGUCCUCGGUUGUAGGGAUCUGAUUAUUAGAUAACCAUUUUCUCUCGAUCAUGAAUCCAUCAAGGAAAGUUGCCCACUGUAAGAAAAAAGGCAGGCAAGUAAGAUUAAUUCUUCCACUGUAAUUUUAUUUUCUAAUAUUUUUGUAACUACUACUAGGUAAUUGCACGUAACAUGGGCACAUAUAUUUUGUAUGUAAUCAGCGUGAUUUACAUGCCAUUUUAGUGUUAGUGCGAUUACAUACAAAACAUAACUUUAGCUGAUAACUGUAUCGGUACUUAUUACUUAUUGGCUUAACAAAGAAAACCAUGUGUCCUUAUAUGAUACGCCAAUAAAACGUGGGAUAGUUGAGACGAUUCAAGGCAAUUCGGUUCGGAAAAUCAGUAAAACAGGGAAUGGAGGAGGUGGUGUGAGGAUGUAGAUGAUGGACGGAAGAUAGGAACAUCAUAGAACCUUACGUAGAAGAGAUUACUCAGGAGUGUAUAUAUAGUAGACAUAAAUAUUUGAGGUGGUACUGUUGUUCUAUUUAGUUGCUUAGGAAAAAUCAAAUGAAAGAGAAAUGAAGAACCACGUCAGUAGACAUACCGCUUUCUUGAGAUGAUUGAUAGGGCUCAAUCCAUGUUCUUUUCUAACAAUAUCAGAGAUACUACUUGUGACAGUGUAAAGAGCCUUGUAACAUGAUAUCAUGUAGCUCGGGAGUGAAUCAAUAGAUGCGAUCCCACCUGCCAAUAAUGUGCAAUUUUUGUGUGAAACUUCGAUAAAAACAAUAUUUUUAUAUCAUGUGUAAGGUCUUAAGCUUAAGUAAUUCUUGAGUUUUUAUUCCAUUAGCAAACUAGAUGCCAUUUUGGACAUAAGCAAUCUCUAAUAUGAAGUAUUUUUUCUUUUUGUUUGAAUAUACAAUAAAUAAUAAGAAAACUAUCAAUAUUUUAAAAAUAUUUCUCAUGAAGACACAAUGUUUAUUUCAAACCAAUAUUAAAACAUAUGCUUAUAUUAUAUGUCAAAAUUAAAGAAGUUUGAAUAUGUGAUUGGACAUAUUUAAUACAUCAUUUCCUUACAAAAAAGGAGACUAUAUUGCCUCCCUAAUCAUAUUAACCUUAUAUAUUCUGGAAACAACAAUGCUCACAUUUUGAUCGCCUCGUUAAAGAGGGAAAGCUCCUCUUGUGUGGCAACAAGAUCAAAGAUGUCAUCCACAAUAUAGACCAUAGAUAUGAUAUUUGUGAUCUCAAUCCGAUAUCUAGAGAAGGAUAAACCCUCGAGGACGGUCAUGGGCCACUUGUACCAUUUAAGAACUUGGUCCCUUGCCGCUGGUAUUUCUUGAGUCAAUCCUAGAUCCAUCCACCAUGUGUGUGAAAAAGAAUUUCCAUAUACACUACUAGGGAAAAGCCUA